UGAAAUUGUUAAUAAAAAGGUUUUUUUAAAAAAAGAGAGAGAGUGAGUGGCUGGCCCAAGUUCAUGAACUGAACGUCAUGGCUGAGCGGGGAUGUGAACUCUGGUCUCCCAGGUCCUAGUCCAACGCUCUAACCACUACACCCCACUGUUCUACUGCUGAGCUAAGGCCCUUCUAUCUGAUUUGGACUGGAAUUUCACUUUGGCAAUGAUCGUUGUGGCGUUUGCCUCCUAGGUGGGUCAUAAGGAAAGGGUUAAAUGAGUGUGAAGCGAUUGGCCAGUGGGAACCUAAGGGGAGGAGUUAGAGUUAGAGUUGGAGUUGUUGGAAAGUCAGUUGAGAGUUGGGAGUUGGAGAAGAAAGGGGGAGGAUAAGUCUGUGUGUUGGUUGAGUGUGUUGUGAGAGAAAUUGUUAGGUGGAGUCAAAUAGUUAGUUGGGAUAAUCAGUUUGAAGUUGUUAGGAACGUACAGUGGUACCUCACAAGAUGAAUGCCUCGCAAGACAAAAAACUCGCUAGACGAAAGGGUUUUUUGUUUUUUGAGCUGCUUCGCAAGACGAUUUUCCCUAUGGGCUUGCUCGCAAGACGGAAACGUCUUGCAAGUUUGUUUCCUUUUCUUAACACCGUUAAUACAGUUGCAACUUGACUCGAGGAGCAACGCAUAGAACGUGGUCGGGUAGCCUUUUGUGAGGUUUUUAAAGACUUUGGUGAUUUUGAAGCUUUUCCAAAACUUUCCCGACACCGUGCUUCGCAAGACGAAAAAAAUCGCAAGACGACAAAACUCGCGGAACGAAUUAAUUUCGUCUUGCGAGGCACCACUGUAUAGGACAGUAAAGGAACUAAGAUUAAGAAACUGACAAGAAAAAUUAACUGAAACCAUAAGCUUGUUCAUGCCUAUAAAAUAAACUUGAUUAUUUGUUAAUGUUAACAACUGUCUGGACUCCGUGUGUACCCGUGAGAAACGGGUUGGUGGCAGCGAAGAAAGCAAUUACAGUGGUGGCACAGGGUCAAUAGACCGUCAAACGUCCGGGGACCCUGUCUUUUUUGGAUUCUUCCAACUCUUGGUGUGUUCCUGGGACUGAACCCCUCUGCCCUGACCCGAGUCUGGCUCCCACUUGACAGCUGCCUACAGCUCAUCCUCCCAUGCUAAGACCAGGCUGGGUCAUACUUUAUGAAAGCUCAGUUGGCAUAAGCUUGGAACAGCACAAAGUCUCACCCUAGCUCAGGAGUAACCAAUACGGUGCCCUCUAAAUGAUGUUGGACCACAUCCCUGAACACUGGCCAUGCUGGCUGGGGCUGGUGGGAGCUGGAGGUCCAGUAACAUCUGGAAGGCACCUGCCCAAGCUACACCACCUGCAGUGUUGAUUUCCCUUACACUGCACAAUAAGCUUGAGCAGCCUGCCUGCUAGCCUGUGCCAGGAAAAUAUCUUGAAGGAGGAGUCCUUGCUGCAAUGCGUUUCCAGAAACCUUAUUUGCUUUCGGUCUCAGGUAGCAGGAGGAGAAUACAGAGAGACUUGAAACUUGGGUGCUCCUGAAGCCUCAAGUAGCAAUCCGUAAUCCUGGAAGGCUGGAAGUUGCCUCUUAUAGCUGCCACUUCCCUUUCAACAGAGCUCAGCAGGACCACUCCAGAGGAACUGGUUGCUGAUCCCAUUAUAUACUGGUUCCCCCGCUCCUCCACCCCAAUGCUUUAGUGGUUUCAAAGAAGAAAAUGGCAAAGGACCCCACACUUGCCCUAUGCCACAGCCAUGCAGCCUCUUCAAAGCAAUCUAAAUUGCUUUUGUUAGCAGUUUAAAGGGGGGGGCCAACAACAACUCCAAGAAGCAAACCAACGCCAACACUUUGUGAAUUUACAAAGGAGCCCGCUAUUCCCCCCCCCCCAAGAAACAUUCUCGAUUGUAUCCCUUACAAACACAGAGAUUAGCCACUAUAAAAACACACACAAACAAGAACGGCAGCCAUUUGGUUAUAAUUGCAAUAACCAGAAGCACUCUGCAACCCGACGCUGUCAAACGAUUCCGUGCUUAGCAGACGUUCUGCUCGAAUUUUAAUUACGCAGGACAAUGGGACGCUGCCAGUAGCUAGUAUCCAUCGGCUGAGCAAUUAAGCUGGCAGGAUCUCGAACUCCAAAAACAAAACAAGAGAGACAGAGGCCGGGGGGGGGGUGGAGAGGAAGGGAACUACUAGUUAUUGAGCUGAAUGCAUCGCUUCUUUCCUAACAUAUGUACACUGAAAAGCCCCCCUUUUUGUGGGUGGAAAGAAUCGGUCUGCCCCCAAAGGACACCGAGAAAGCACAGAACAAGCCGGCCAUUAAAAGCAAUUCAUCGAAAAGAUCUGUCUGCAGGAAUAUGCAGAAUUAAGAGGAGCGAUUUCUCUCCAACGGGUCUGGUGGAACAUCGGCUUAGAACAGGACUUCUGGAGUCUCUUUAAAUGGAAGCUCUGAGAAAGCACUCUGGAUACCAAUACCCCAUGGAAUGAGCUUAUUAUUUAUUGCAUUUACAGUGGUACCUCGGGUUAAGAACUUAAUUCAUUCUGGAGGUCUGUUCUUAACCUGAGGUGCCACUUUAGCUAAUGGGGCCUCCCGCUGAGGGAAGCUGCACCGCCGCGUGCGAUUUCUGUUCUCAUCCUGAAGCAAAGUUCUUAACCCAAGGUACUAUUUCUGGGUUAGCGAAGUCUGUAACCUGAAGUGUCUGUAACCUGAAGCGUCUGUAACCCGAGGUACCACUGUAUACCCCACUUUCCUCUGCAAGGAGCUCACAGUGGUGUAUAUGGUUCUCUUCAUCCGCAUUUGGACCUGUGAGGGAGGGGAGGCUGAGAGGCUGCGACCGACCCAAGGUGACCCAGGGACUUCUUUGGCUGAGCAGGGACUUGAACCCUGGUCUUCCAGGUCCUAGUCCAACCCUCUGAUCACUAAAUUGCCCACCUAUAUCCUCUCAUCUGACCUUGGGGAAGACCCCCCAGGAAAAAGUUCACUCCACCCUCCUGCUGCAGGCUCUCUGGAGAAAUGGGUUUUCCAGGAGACUCAGCUGGAAAUGAAGGUCUUUGUGCACAAUCUAGAGGAUUUCCUAUUUCAUUUAUUUCUAAAGAAAUGUAUACCACUAUUCAUCUCUCUCUCUCUCCCUCUUUCUCAGUUGUUCACCACAACCAUACAGGAAAUAGUAAUAGUUACCAAGUAAUAGUUACCAUUUUAGUUGUUUUAACCUGUCAGUCAAAGACACUUGUCUUCCUGCUCUUAUUCUGGUUUGUUUUUAUAAUUACUGUAUCUUGCUUUUAUAAUGUUGUAUUUUAGCUAUUUUAAAACUGCUGUUCUAGAGCUGUAAUGACAACCUGAAACCAUUUAAAUCAGAGAUAGCAUCUGAUACUAUUCUUACCCGGCACAGUGAAUGGCUAGGGAUGAUGGGAGUCAUAGCACAACAACAUCUGCAAAGACACCUGUCCCUCAUCCAUGAUUUACAGAAUAAAAUUCAGGAUUAAAAAUAUGUCACAGAUUAAAAGAAAAUCCAUGUACGUAUAUGUUGCAUUCCAGGGCCGUGUGUGUGUGUGUGUGUGUGUGUGUGUGUUUGUGUGUGUGUGUGUGUUUCUUCUGCAGGCAGAGAAAAUGGUUCUUUGACCCUCCAGCUGUUGCUGAACUACAACUCCCAUCCGCCUUGGGAAGCACAGCCUGAGAUGGUGAGACAUGGAGUUCCCACAUGGAUGAUUUCUGAAAACAAGCCUUGGUGGGUGGAACUUGAUUGCAUCUCAAUUGUCUUUCUUUCUUUUUUUGCUCCAGUCCACCUGAGCUCGAUAUUAAAGGUAAAGGUAAAGGGACUCCUGACCAUUAGGUCCAGUCGUGGCCGACUCUGGGGUUGUGGCACUCAUCUCGCUUUAUUGGCCGAGGGAGCUGGCAUACAGCUUCCAGGUCAUAUGGCCACCAUGACUAAGCCUCUUCUGGCGAACCAGAGCAGCGCACGGAAACACCGUUUACCUUCCCGCCGGAGCAGUACCUAUUUAUCUACUUGCACUUUGAUGUGCUUUCAAACUGCUAGGUUGGCAGGAGCAGGGACCGAACAACGAGAGCUCACUCCAUUGCGGGGAUUCGAACCGCCGACCUUCUGAUCGGCAACUCAUAGGCUCUGUGGUUUAACCCACAGCGCCACCCGCGUCCCUUGAGCUUGAUAUUAGAAGGAAUUAUAUUCUUCCUGACUUUUCAAAUUCCUAGCAGAGAUGUGAAGAGGCAAAAGGAAGGAGACAGUGUGUGGCACGAAGAUGCCUCUGAAUUCAUCGCGAAAAGAAAACGCUUCCCAGGGUCAACUCUACCUCCCUAAAUAACCUGGAUUCCAGAGACCAGCGUUUAUCUGCAUCGAUCUGAAAGCAAAAGGCGAAGUUCAAACACGACGGAAGAUAAGGAGCUCCUCCGUCCCAGCCAUGUACUUAAGACACCUGCAGACCAGCAUUGCACUAGCAUAGAUUAAGAUCGCUUAAGACAAAUGCUCUAAGAGAGAAAAGGUUAAAAUUAAAGGUGGUGGCGUUCAGACUUGGGGCGGUGGUGUUGCGGGAGCAUCACUGCAGACAUGAGAGAUAAAAAUAGCAUUACCCAAGCUGUAACCUGCAGGUACACGAGAGAGAAAGCUGACUGGGUAGACUUGUGAGAAAGAAUUAAUAAUUUAUACCAGCGUUCGCUCCACAUUUAGGAAUCCUUAUUGGGAAAGCACAGAAAGGGACACGCAACAAAAUGAUGGCUUAUGGGAGGACAUUAGCACAAGAUGCGAUGUGAUCCCUGAAGCAGCUAUGAACUCUCCAGCUGGCCUUUGGCAAUCCUCUCUCUCUCUCUCUCUCUCUCUCUCUCAUCCUCACCACCCACAACAUCUGCAACAUGAGGAGAACCACCCUUGCCUACCGUACAGGGUUGCUGUAAGGAUUACGAGAACAGACAGUGCUUGGAAAGUUCAUUUUAAAAAAGGAACUCUAGUUCGAGUCUGCCCUUUUCUCAAAGUCCAAAUUCAUUCGAAUCUUCAUUUAGUUUGUAAAAAAUAAAUUUAUCCUCUGCAUCCCACCGCCCCACAGCGUUCGGAAUAUUGCAAGUUGCUGUGUUGAAGCAUAAGGUCCAAAAAUAAAUCAGGGGCUCCACACAAGUAAUUAGAGGUUGAACAAACAGUAUGCCAACAGGUAAAACUUUCCCCAUAAUUGGAUUUUCAUACUAGAAAAGGCUUGCCCUCGCUGGUCACAGGGAGAACAGAAACUCCUUGUUACAACAGAUCCACUGGCUGCCAGUUCAUUUCUGGGCACAAUUCAUAGUGCUGUUUAUGACCUACGAAGUCCUAUUUGGCUUGGGCCCAGACUAUCUGAAGGACCAUAUCUCCCUAAAAGAGCUUGCCCAGGCUUUGAGAACUUCAAAAAUCUGAAGGGCUAUUACAUGGACGAUGGAGCAAGUUUGUUUUCUGCUGCUCCAGAAGGUAGGACCCAAUCCAAUGGAUUCAGAUGGUAAGGAUAGAGGUUCCAACUAAACAUUAGGGAGAACUUUCUAAUGGUAAGAGCUGUUCAACUGUGGAAUGAUAUCCCUGGGAAGGGGAUGGACUCUCCUUCCUUGGAGGUUAUUUAAACAGAUGUUGGAUAGGUCAUCAGGUGGUCUUUGUGACAUGUCGCUCUGCACCUCCUGCCUCCCACUUCAAAAUGGAAGUAUAUUUAGGCUACUGCUACUAAUUAGUUACCUGUUAACUCUCCAUGUUCUCAGUUAGGAGGCAUAGUGCAUUCAACCAAUAAUAAUAGAUUUUUAAUUAGGAUUAACUCAGAGUUGCCACCUGAGAAAGUGUCCGGUGCAUUUGGCUCAGCGGUGAAACAAUCUGUUCAACGCAACUUUCAAUAAAGAUCAAUGAAAAAACCGCCACCAAUGUUAUCAAGCCAGGAAUCGGAACCAGUGUUUUCAUUCAAAGAACACAUUUUAAAUUGCCUGCCUUUCCGAAUCAUAAAUCAUUUGCCUCUGAUAUUUUCCCUGACAGAAAGAAACAGUUAUUACCAUUAAAUAUCGCAUCUGCAUUCAGGAUGGUGUAAUAACUAUUUAAAAGCGAUUCAUCUGGCCAAUUAUUGGCACACGCUCAUUCCCAAAAACAAGAAAUGGCCUUUUAGAGCAUCAAAAGUUUCAGGUGGGAUUUGAUCUCAUAGCGGCAGAUUCAGUUUCUGCAAUUAUAGUUGAUUGAAAGGGAAAUGCACUGGGAAAGAGUAGGAAAACACUUGAAUUGACACAAUCUCCCUGCAAGCAAAUCAGAAUGAAUAAAUGAAUUAAAUAGGUGAUGCCACCUAGUCUCCCUGAAAACAGAUCAGGAUGAAUGCUCAAAUGCGACUUGCCGAUCAGAAGGUCGGCGGUUCGAAUCCCCAUGACGGGGUGAGCUCCUGUUGCUCGGUCCCUACUCCUGCCAACCUAGCAGUUCGAAAGCAUGUCAAAGUGCAAGUAGAUAAAUAGGUACCACUCCUGCGGGAAGGUAAACGGCCUUUCCGUGCGCUGCUCUGGUUUGCCAUGCUGUCCACAUGACCCGGAAGCUGUACGCCGGCUCCCUCGGCCAAUAAACCGAGAUGAGCGCCGCAACCCCAGAGUCGGUCACGACUGGACCUAAUGGUCAGGGGUCCCUUUACCUUAUGUAUAUGUAUAUAUAUUUGGCACCUUGAAGACUAACAGUCCUUCUACCCCAAUGAUCUCAGGUUGGUGUGUUCUUCCUAACAGCCCUGUUAUGUGGGCUUUGUUAAUAAGAGAUUUGCUUAAGAUCACCCCGUGUGCUGCAUGGCUAAGGAGUUGUCUAAAUCCACUAAAUCUCAACACUCAAGCCAUAACACUGCAUUGACUCACAACAGAUUUCUCUUCGCACUAUAUAGGUUCCUCUGUGGAUAUGUAAAACAGGUAAAACAUUCUGCUGUUCCGUUUUUGCCUCUGAGAAACAAAUCAAGCGGAUUCCGCUGGUUCUCCUUUGUUGCACUAUUGAGAUUUGGACUUUAAUUAGGAUUAACCGAGUUACUGACAAGUUUUCUGUGCGCGAAGCAUUGAGACAUUUGUCCCAAUGUAGACUAUAAAAAUUGCAUAACUGCAUGAAUAUGCAUAACUGCAUAAAUAUAUAUGCACAUAUGCUUGGAACACCCAAGAUGUAUAUCUAAAAAUAUCUAUCACUCUAAGAUGUAUACCUAAAAAUGGAUAAAUACUGACACCUGAUGAUUGACAGAUAGGUUGUCCCACCUGUCUGUCAAACCUGGCCUGCUGGGGUAGGGGGAGAUACUGCACAGGGUUGAACAGCCUGUGGAAUACUUGAUAUAAGGUGAGUUCGUUCCUGGUUAGUGCAGGGUGAGGGCAUGCCAGCCAAUUCUCAGAAUGAACUGGUUGAAGCACCUGAGCAGAGCAGAACUGAACUCCCUGUGCAUCAGCUGGUGCCUGGGUGAAGGCUCAUUCUUGAUUUCUGCAGCUGCAUCUGUACCUGCCCCACACCAGAAAUCACAUAUUGUGGGAAUGUUAAUGGUGGCAGGAGAGGUCAUAUUGUUUAUUAAUAUCCUUCCUAACUUUUGCACUAGCAAGUUCCUUUACUUAGCAGAGUUUACAUUCCCCUUUUUAUAUACACAGCAGAUAGCUGGCUGCAGGCUCGUGUGAGCCUCUCACUAUUGUACAAUUCAGUCUGUUAAGAUUGAAUUGUACGUUCCUGGUAAGUAACCAUGAAUCCCUCUUAAAAGAAUAGAUGCCACAAUCUUAUUCAAGGCCAAUAAAAGAAGUUUACUUACGACAGUUCACAGUUGGAUACCUGAAGGCAGACUUAGUUACAAAUAUGUGCAUGUGGAUCUACCCCAUAUGGGGGAAUAAUCCCAGUGCCUCUGCUAGCUAAGAGCUAGCAGGGCAGUCCUAGCUAAAAGUUGGUCAAACAAAGAAGGAAGGCAAAAAGAGGGAAGUGUGCAGUGUGAUCCAUCUUUUUGUUACCUGGACAGGUUAGGUUGGGUUAAGGUUACCAGACAUCCCCGUUUCCCGGGGACAGUCCCCAAAUUUACAAAUCAGCCCCCUGACAAAAUCUAUCUAUUUAGUAGGAAGUUGAAAAGUGUCCCCAGAUUCAUUGAAAAAAAAUCUGCUAACCUUAGGUUAUGUCACGCCCACCUUCUAUCACAUGCAAAAGGAAGGAUGCUCCAGCCAGGAGGAACAGGAAGUUUUGACUGGCUGGACCAAACAUUCCCUUCGCAUGUCUUCUCUAGCAUUACAAGGAAUGCUGCACUUGACUGUCUCUCGUGGAUCACAUCCCACACAUAUGACACAAUGUAUGAGGCAGGUGUGGGUGGUUUCAUAAAAGUGGCCUCAUGACCAAAUGGGGAGGGCUGGUAGGCCAACUUUGGCCCGCAGGUCAGUGGUUCCCGACCCCUGGUCUAAAGGUUGGGACAGCCCUGGUUUGCAAAGUGAAAUACCCACAUCCCAGACCCAUCUGCAUCAUCCAGGAACCCACUGCCAGGAACAAACCUUCUCAGUGGCUCUCAGUUCCCAAAACAACCUGGUUGCAAACCCAGCUCUGCACGGAUAACCUCCAUAGCUGUCAACUUACAGAUUUGAAAAUAAGGGACCAGCAGCCUCGAAAAUAAGGGAUUUUAGUAAACCAGCAGCCAAACGAAGCCUCAAGUGGUGGUUCCCAUAGCGCAGCAACCCGGCAAAGGGAUGCAGAAAGGAAAACCACCGUCACCUCUCUACUGGGAAGCGCUGAGCAAAGGUGAGUCCCCAGGCAACGCAGCCGAUUUGAUCGGCACAAGGCAUGCAAGCUCCACCCCCCAGUCGUUCUUAGACUCCUUAUUGGGUCAGCAACACAGCCAAGCAACACAGUUGGAGCCUCUCUCCACCCUGGCCGGCAGGGAGGGAGGUAGAGGAGCUGCUUCCUUUGAAACCCGGGAAAUUUAAGGGACAUCAUCAAUAAGGGACAGCAGCGAGACAUGGCGCUGGGAUAAGGGACUGUCCCGCCAAAUAAGGGACGCUUGACAGCUAUGAUAACCUCUGUGGCAGAACAAAAUUCGAUUAACUCCUGAAUGCAUGCAGUUAUGUCCAGCUCAUGAAAAUAACUGCACCUGCGACCACCCGCUAUCAUCUGAUAUCGAUUGAACAACCAUAUUACAUGCUAGCAGAAGGGAAAAGGAAAAGAAAGCAUAUAUACAGAGAAAAGAGGCUGUGUAAAACCCCAAGCAGAUUUCUAGGUUGGGAGGGUCAUUAGCUAUAGAAUGCAGCCCAUCUGUCAGGUUGCCAGCUUCCUCUAAACACCAAAAACAAAAACAGAAUCCCUAAUUGCUAAUUGAAAGAUCAAAGCCACGGGUUGCUCUGCGCCAUAUGGGAAGAAACAGUAGGAAUCGGGAGGCCCAGGAAACAAAGUUGUAAAGGAGAAGCGCUCGCUAAGUUCCCUGCUCUGCGGCACGGACGAGAUUUUGAGAGAAAUCUGCAUCAAAGUCAGUCAAGGAUGGCUGGUAUCAUCUUGCUUCCACCUUGAGACAGUGGAUUGACCCACCAAAGUGCUAGGGUUAAUGGGAUUCGGGUUGAUUAAUUGAUUCAGGUUGAUUAAGUGGGCAUAGUUAAGGAGCUAAGAAAAGUGUGCUGAAUCAGGCCAAUGGCCCAUCUAGUCCAGCAUUGUGUUCUCACAGUAGCUAACUAGAUGUCUGUGGAAAGCCUGCAACCAGGGUAUGCACACAAUAGCCCUCUCCCCAUAAGGAAGACUUCCGUGACUUCCAUGAGAGUUGUAAAAGAAUGUCUAGCCCAGCAGAGUAAGGACGCAGGUGGCACUGUGGGUUAAACCACAGAGCCUAGGGCUUGCCACCAGAAGGUCGCCGGUUCGAAUCCCUGCAACCGGGUGAGCUCCCGUUGCUCAGUCCCUGCUCCUGCCAACCUAGCAGUUUGAAAGCAUGUCAAAGGGCAAGUAGAUAAAUAGGUACCACUCAGGUGGGAUGGUAAACAGUGUUUCCGUGCGCUGCUCUGGUUCGCCAGAAGUGGCUUAGUCAUGUUGGCCACAUGACCUGGAAGCUGUACGUCGGCUCCCUCGGCCAAUAAAGCGAGAUGAGCGCCGCAACCCCAGAGUCAGUCACGACUGGACCUAAUGGUCAGGGGUCCCUUUACCUUUACCUUAGCCCAGCAGAGUAUCAUAAACAAUGGAGUGUCAUUGGCAGUAGUAAGCAGUACAGUGGUACCUCUGGUUAUGAACGGGAUCCAUUCCAGAGGCCCGUUAGCAACAUGAAAAGAGCGCAACCCACAGCGGCAUGUCUGCACACACAUGGGUUGCAAUUCGGUGCUUCUGCGCAUGCGCGUGAUGUCAUUUUGCGCUUCUGCGCAGGUGCGAGCGGUGAAACCCAGAAGUAACCCUUUCCGGUACUUCUGAGUCACCGUGGGGCAUAACCUGAAAGAACAUAACAUGAAGCAAACGUAACAUGAGGUAUGACUAUACUGUGGGGGGGGGCAGUUCUCACCUUGAAAGAUGCCCAAAAUUACAAAACCUGCUGAAAAAUGGGACAAGCCCCACCUGUCCUCACAGCUGCAUCUCUGCUGUCUAUUAUGGGGAUGAGGAAGUUAUGUUCACAUCCACCCUAUACGUUUAAAGCACUCUUAUAUAAGGUCAUGGUUCCCUCCUGGGGACUGUAGCCUGCUAAAGAGUUUGCUAGGAGACCCUCACAGAGCUAUAACCAGCCACACCACUAACUAUAGUUCCCAGGAUUUUGGAGGGGAGCCAAUACUGCUCAAGUGGUGAUGGAUGCAACCUUCUUGUGAUGAUGGGACUACAACUCCCAUCAUCCAUGACCCUCCUGGAGGGGACUCUGGUUGUCCUUUGGCUUCUUCGGUGGAGUCCUCUGCAUCCGAGGAUGGAAAGAUGACAUCUUCAGGAAGGAUGGGCUCAGUUCUGCAGUCUUUGACCUCAUCCUCUGAAAGAGGGGGAAAUCUGACCCCAGGGUCAUGACACUUUCCUGGCCCAGCCAUCUUAGCACCCGCUCUGUGCAGAAACAAGAGAUACAGUGGUACCUCAGGUUAAGUACUUAAUUCAUUCCGGAGGUCUGUUCUUAACCUGAAACUGUUCUUAACCUAAAGCACCACUUUAGCUAAUGGGGCCUCCCGCUGCCACUGCACCACCGGAGCCCGAUUUCUGUUCUUAUCAUGAAGCAAAGUUCUUAACCUGAGGUAAUAUUUCUGGGUUAGUGGAGUCUGUAACCUGAAGCGUAUGUAACCUGAAGCGUAUGUAACCCAAGGUACCACUGCACUUGGGGGGAGUCGAGAAAAGGCUGUGCACCUCAAACCUGCCGACUCCAAAUUCAUAAUGCAGGAAGGAAGGAAGGAUGCCGCAAAAUAAAAACGAAUAAAACAAAAAUAAAGCCGGCAAGGAAACGAACCUAAAGGGACCCACAUUUCCACUCUGUCAGGAGAAGCAGCCGUGCCAAGUGAGAGCUGGCAAGGCAAGAAGGUGCCAGCAUGCAUUUGGAGCUAAAAACAGAAACCAUGUCAAGAAAAGGCCCUGAAUCAUUUCAUCGCAGCUCUUAUCCCUCCGAGGGCAUUUCUCUGUCUCAGGCAGCUGUUACAGGAAAUCGUGCAGGGAGACGAUAAUAAGUUCUAAAGCCAUACAGGAGUUAGGAGUCCCUGGACAAAACACUUUGGACCUUGGUCUGGAUACCAGGGUGGCCCAUGAACCAAUAUACCAGAGUCUACCUAAGAGAGGGGGGCAGGGAAGUUUUUUCAUAUAUAUAUAUAAAAUUUUAACAUAUAAAUUCCAACAAUCAUUUAACAUAACUUCUUAUCUUAUACAAUAUUUUAGACAACAACCUCUGAAGAUUGUCCGUUCUUUAUCACUUAUUCUGCAUUUCUUAAUUUCUCUAUUACUUUUAAUUGUCCUUAACUAAUCGUUCUUUUCAAAGUCUCCCUUGCAAUAUUUGACAAAGUCCUCCUUACAGAACUACUAGCGUAAUCUGUUUAUCACAAUUGCUUUUCAAAUAAUUCAAAUAUUUACUCCAGUCCUCUAAGCACCUCUUAUCCCACAGGUUUCAAAUCCUUCCUGUUAUUUUAUCUAAUUCUGCAUAGUCCAUUAAUUUCAUUUGCCAUUCUUCUUUCAUCGGUAAUUCUUCUUGCUCCCAGGGUGGGGAAGUUUUUUCAGCUCAAGGGCCACAUUCGAUUGUUCUGGGGGCCGCAUGCCAGCAGCUGGGCAGGGCCAGGGUGAAACUGGGAAGAGCAACAAAUGUAAACUUUACCUUUCUACUGUCGCUUCGUUUCUACACACCCUUUCACUUCAAGCAAGAGGCAUUGUCAGUCAGAGCUCAAGGAUAGGCAUACCGUAUUUUUUGCUCUAUAAGACUCACUUUUUCCCUCCUAAAAAGUAAGGGGAAAUGUGUGUGCGUCUUAUGGAGCGAAUGCAGGCUGUGCAGCUAUCCCAGAAGCCAGAACAGCAAGAGGGAUUGCUGCUUUCACUGUACAGUGAUUCCUCUUGCUGUUCUGGCUUCUGAGAUUCAGAAUAUUUUCUUUCUUGUUUUCCUCCUCCAAAAACUAGGUGCGUCUUGUGGUCUGGUGCGUCUUAUAGAGCGGAAAAUACGGUAAAUGCUCGAGGAGGAGGCAAAGCAAGGCCAGUGAAGGAACGACCUAAGAAGAGUCUGGGAAGCCAUUUCUUCUUCCAAUAAAAGGUCAUCCAACUGAGGCUGAUUGAGCCCCAACACUAAACCCAGACUAAAAUUGAUCCAGAUAAGAGGUUUUCUGCAAGAGCCCCACCCCCUUUGAGCAACUUAACCAAAAAGUGAGUACCAUAUUUUUUGCUCUAUAAGACUCACUUUUUCCCUCCUAAAAAGUAAGGGGAAAUGUGUGUGCGUCUUAUGGAGCGAAUGCAGGCUGCGCAGCUAUCCCAGAAGCCAGAACAGCAAGAGGGAUUGCUGCUUUCGCUGCGCAGUGAUCCCUCUUGCUGUUCUGGCUUCUGAGAUUCACAAUAUUUUUUUCUUGUUUUCCUCCUCCAAAAACUAGGUGCGUCUUGUGGUCUGGUGCGUCUUAUAUAGCGAAAAAUACGGUAUUUGUGACUGGGUGGUAAUGGUAAUAAACUUGUUUUAAAUGCAUUUUUAUUGUUCUGUAUCUCUGUUUGUAGGGACGCGGGUGGUGCUGUGGUCUAAACCACAGAGCCUAGGGCUUGCCGAUCAGAAGGUUGGCGGUUCAAAUCCCCGCGAUGGGGUGAGCUCCCGUUGCUCAGUCCCUGCUCCUGCCAACCUAGCAGUUCAAAAACAUGUCAAAGUGCAAGUAGAUAAAUAGGUACCACUCCAGCGGGAAGAUAAACGGCGUUUCCGUGUGCUGCUCUGGUUCGCCAGAAGCGGCUUAGGCAUGCUGGCCACAUGACCCGGAAGCUGUACAUCGGCUCCCUCGGCCAGUAAAGCGAGAUGAGCGGCACAACCCCAGAGUCGUCCGCGACUGGACCUAAUGGUCAGGGGUCCCUUUACCUUUACCUUUACAUAUCUCUGUUUGUGCCACCUCACGCUUCUUUGGAAUGCACUGCCCAUAUAUCUCCUGCCUUUGUCUGUGACAGGGAUUCAAGGCAGCUUACAAAUAAAAAUAAGAACGGCUAAAAACAUAGGUGUGAAAAUAAUCAUUUUUGUAAAAAAUUGAACACACACACAUGUGCGGUGCCUCAGAACGUAACUUCCACGAAAAUGGGGGCUUGCCUGUAAUCUACGAAAAGCAUACAAGUAACUAGAAUAAAGGGACGCGGGUGGCGCUGUGGGUAAAACCUCAGCGCCUAGGACUUGCCAAUCGCAUGGUCGGCGGUUCGAAUCCCCGCGGCGGGGCGCGCUCCCGUCGUUCGGUCCCAGCGCCUGCCAACCUAGCAGUUCGAAAGCACCCCCGGGUGCAAGUAGAUAAAUAGGGACCGCUUACCAGUGGGAAGGUAAAUGGCGUUCCGUGUGCUCCGCUGGCUCACCAGAUGCAGCUUGUCACGCUGGCCACGUGACCCAGAAGUGUCUGCGGACAGCGCUGGCUCCCGGCCUAUAGAGUGAGAUGAGCGCACAACCCUAGAGUCUGGCAAGACUGGCCCGAACGGGCAGGAGUACCUUUACCUUUAACUAGAAUAAAAGCAGCACUAGCCCUUUCAUCAGUUCCCAAAAGCCAGUUGGAACAAGAAAGUCUCCACCUGCUGGCAGAAGGACAACAAGGAGCCUAGCUUCUCCAGGGAAGCAGUUCCAGAACCUAGGAGCAGCCACUGAGAAGGCCCUGUCCAUCAUCCUCACCAGGUGUCCCUAUGAGGGUGGCAGGACUGAGAGAAGGGCCUCACCUUAAAGUAGCAAAACCGAGAUAGGCUCAUAGGAGAGAUUAUGUUCUUUUAGAUAGCUUGGACUUAUUAUUUAUAGUCAUACCUCAUGUUACGUUUGCUUCAUGUUACGUUCUUUCAGGUUAUGUCCCGCGGCAACCCAGAAGUACCAGAAAGGGUUACUUCCAGGUUUUGCCGCUCGCACAGGUGCAGAAGCGCAAAAUGACGUCACGCGCAUGCGCAGAAGCAGUGAAUCACAACCUGCGCGUGCACAGAUGCACCACUGUGGGUUGCGCUCUUUUCAUGUUGCGAACGGGCCUCCAGAACGGAUCCUGUUCGCAACUAGGGGUACCACUGUAUUAUUAUUUAUUUUUUGAAUUUAUAUGCCAGCCUAUACCUGGGGGUCUCAGGGCAGUUCACAGAAGAAAAUCAAGAUAUAAAACCACAUAAUACAUAAUAAAAACAAAAACAACAACCCAAUAGCCCCCCCCCCAAAAACACAUUUUAAAAGGGCAUAGGAUGUAAAUGAGAUCAACCAAAGGCCUGGUUAAAAAGGAACAUUUUUGCCUGGCGCCUAAAGGUGUAUAAUGAAGGCACCAGGCACCCUGGGGAGAGCAUUCCACAGGCAGGGAGCCACUACAGAGAAGGCCCUGUUCUCAUGUUGCCACCCUCCAGAGCUCUCGAGGACUUAAGCCGUAUAGGGCUUAGGAAGAGCAGGAUAUGAAUUUAACUUGACGGUGAUGAUACCACCUCAGUCCAGGGGCAGGGUGGUUUCAGGAUCGCCUGAGCUACCACUUCUUAAAUGAAUAAUGACAAAGAAAACACACAGUGAAAGGGGAAAGGGAGUAUUCACAAAUGGCUAGAGUGAGCUCGCCCUUGUUAUCAGCAUAAAACAGCGCAGAGUGAAAUGGAUAUCGUUACAAUCAGCACGGCACAUUAAUGAGGUUUGCAAAGAAAGAAAAGGCUUGCAAAAGUUGGCAGGUAACUUUAGCCGCUCCCCUAGCACUAAAUCUACUCAGCAGGCACUCGCCAUCCAUCAUCCCGGCAAAUUAUGUUUUAAAACCUGCUCCUCCGAAAUAAAUAAAUAAAUGUUAAUCACUCCCCUGCGCGAGUGGGCAGACAGGGCUUGAGCGGCUUAGAGAAACACACACACACAAAAUCCCAUGCUAUCAGAAUAAAACUAUUUGCUCUCAGCUUCUCUCUGGCAAUCAAUCCACUUCCUUUGCAAACAAUGAAAUUUGGUUUGGCAGCAUGUAAGGAUGGAGUCUGGGGUCCGGGGGAAGGGGGCAUGUAUGUAGCAGAUACACAGCUGAACUGGAAAUAGGAAGACCUGGGCUAGAAAUAUAGGGCGCUGCUGUAUACCAGGUCAGACCAUUAGAGUUUUUAAUUUGGAGUAAAGGUAAGUAAGAAGGAGGGACGCAGGUGGCGCUGUGGGUUAAACCACAGAACCUAGGACUUGCCGAUCAGAAGGUCGGCGGUUCGAAUCCCUGCGAUGGGGUGAGCUCCCGUUGCUCGGUCCCUGCUCCUGCCAACCUAGCAGUUCAAAAGCACAUCAAAGUGCAAGUAGAUAAAUAGGUACCGCUCCGGCGGGAAGGUAAAUGGCAUUUCCGUGCGCUGCUCUGGUUCACCAGAAGCGGCUUGGUCAUGCUGGCCACAUGACCCGGAAGCUGUACUCCCUCGGCCAGUAAAGCGAGAUGAGCACAGCAACCCCAGAGUCAGUCACGACUGGACCUAAUGGUCAGGGGUCCCUUUACCUUUAAGUAAGAAGGGUCAUGAUUCUGCACGGCACGGAGGAAGUGGAUGGAGAAAACCUCUCUCGUAACACUAGCUCUCAUGGACACACAAUGAAGCUGAAUGCCGGAAGAUUCAGGACAGUUAGAAGAAAGGAGUUCUUCACAGCACAUAGUUAAACUAUGGAACUCACUCCCACUGGAGCCCCUUGGAUACCUUCAAAAGACAUGACAAAGUCAUGGAGGACAAGGCUAUGAAUGGCUAGUAGCCAUUCCUAAAUAUCAGUUGCCAGAAACCGAAGGAGAGGGAAGCACUCUUGUACCCGGGUCAUCCUUGGGGGUUUCCCACAGCCAUCUGGUUGGCCACUGUAAAAACAGGAUGCUGGACUAGUUGGGCCAUGGGUCUGAUUCAGCAGGCUCUUCUUUUAUCCACCUACUUGGAGUAGACUCGUUGAAAUUAAGUCAUGUCCAUUCAUUUCAAUGGGUCUACUCUGAGUAGGGGAGACAUGGACUGCAGUCAAGUGAUGCAUCAAACUUUUUCCUAGUCCAGCUUGGACUUGGUGAUUGAACUUGGAACCUUCUGCAUGCAAGGCAGAUGUCCCACCACUGAGCUAUGAGCUUUUCUCAAAGGGUUUGUAUAACUGCUCAGCCUUGGAGCUGACCAGGUCCCCUUGGCAGCCAUAUGUGCUCAGCUUAACCUACCUGACGAGGUUGCGUGGCGAGUUCCCACCUCCCACCAGAAGAAAUAAAGACACAAGACACCAUAAGUUAAGGUUAAUGGGCGAAAAUUGGCCACAACGUUAUUGAUUGCAGGAAAUGAGCGGUAUCGGCCUAGGCAUUGGUCCUAUCAACUAUCCGGCUUCAGGCUGUAUGCCUGAGAGGCUGGGAAGUGUUAACACCAGCAGGGGGAGCCCUGCUGAUGCACAUCAACUAGGCACUCCCCUGGGGUCACCGUUCAGGGGCGUGCCUUGGGCCCUGGCCUCCCUAGGCUUCAGACGGGGCCAUGCCCCCAGAGUCCUUUACCGGACUACCCUUCGCAACUGGGGGAGGUGAUGGCGCUCCUCCCCCCCCCAUCCAUCUACAUAACAAUACUCCGACCAAUGCCUCACCGCCAAACUGUGGAAGUUGUGACAAUUUGCUACGAGGUAGGCGAAAAAACCAAAUGGCCGGUGCCAAUUUGCCAAGUGGAAAAAUUCCUAUCAGGCCCCUUAACGGCGACCAACCGAAGUCCAUAGCAAGGUCAAAGGGAAACCUUAAAGGGAGGGUGGGUGGGAAAUUCCCCAGCUGAUCGGCGGCGGCAAAGAGGGAGCUCCUCUGCCACGCUUGCCUUAAGAGCGGCAAGCCACACCCCCUGAGCCAGCCAAUAGGCUGGCCAGGGGAUGACGCAGCAGAGGAUUCCCCCUGUACGCACGGGGCUGAGAGCCAGCCUCUGCGUGGGAGUUGGAGGGUGGGAAGCCUGCAAACCCACCUCCUCCCUAGGGUCGGAAGUGGCUUUGUGGUGAGAAGAAGUGAAAGUCAUAAGGAAUGUGGCUAGAUGACUUGCUCCAAUUGCUUUAUAUCUUUUUUAAAAAUAUAUAUAAUUUUUAUUAAGUUUUCCAUAUUUCAUUACAUUUACAUAUCAAAAAUCAAAAAAUCCAUAACUUAAAGCAUUGCUUAAAUAAAGCAUCGACUUCCUUCCCUCCCUCUAACAGACUUCCACACACUUUUACCAAUUUCUUCACAUUCCUAUAUCCACUUUUUUACCUUAUAUCAAUCUUUUAGCAAUCACCUUCUUAUAUGUAAAUCAGCUCCUUAAUUUCCCAUUACCAAACAUUUCAACACAAACCUACAAACGUUUCCAACUGUUUACAAUUUUCUUUCAUAUAAAGUAUAAAUUUGCCCCAGUCCUUAUGAAACGGUUCAUCACGCCGAUUCCGGAUCUUCCCCAUCAGAGUUGCUUUAUAUCUUAAUAAGUUUAUCUUAAUAAUGACAAAGGCAGUGAUGAUGGGAACAGAUUCUAACACAAAGGGCCUGAUAACACAACUGGUCAUUCUAUGAGCCUCUUUGGUUGUUAAUAGGGGGCCUCCUUUGCCUGCAGCCCCUAUUGCCAUAUAACUCUCAAAACAUUAUCCAGAAAGGAAGGAGGCCCACAAAAAAGAUCUCCUUUCCAAGGUGACUCUACUGGUUGGGUGCAAACGGCAAGGGAGACUGAAGUGGAAGCCAGCACUGAUGCUACACUAGUUUUCUGGAUGCACAGGAGGAGGGGAAGGAGACAACUUCCCUUAGGCUAAGCAAGGCUCAUCCACAUAGCUCUAAACCAUAGUUUAGGGUGAUGUGUGAACGGGACCACAGGUUGACACACUGAAGAACGGAGAGAAGGGGCUUUCUUGGUUCAUCUGACAACCACGGAAGAUAGAAUGCCACCUUACAUUAGGGCCAUGUUCACACCAUACAUUUAAAGAAGAGGAAAAGGAAGAGGAAGAGGAGGAGGAGGAGGAGGAGGAGGAGUUUGGAUUUGAUAUCCUGCUUUAUCAGUACCCGAAGGAGUCUCAAAGCGGCUAACAUUCUCCUUUCCCUUCCUCCCCCACAACAAACACACUGUGAGGUGAGUGGGGCUGAGAGACUUCAGAGAAGUGUGACUAGCCCAAGGUCACCCAGUAGCUACAUGUGGAGGAAUGGAGACGCAAACCCGGUUCACCAGAUUACGAGUCUACCGCUCUUAACCACUACACCCCACUGGCUCUCAGUGUGUAUCACACCACUUUAAACAGUCAUAACUUACCCCAAAGGAUCCUGGGAAAUGUAGUUAAGGAUGUUGAGAGUUGUUUGAAGACCCCUAUUCACUUCCCAGGGUUCCCCGUGAAGAUAGACUGGUUGUUACACAACUCUGGGAAUUUUAGAUCUGGGAGGGUCUCCUAACGACUCUCAGCACCCUGAACAAACUACAGCUCCCAAAAUUCUUUGAAGGAAGCCAUGAUGGUUUAAAGUGGUGUUGCAGUGCUUCAAACGUAUGCUGUCGAUGUGGUCUAUAUUAAACCAUUACAGUGGUACCUUGGGUUACAAACACUUUGGGUUACAGACUCCGCUAACCCGGAAGUAGUACCUCAGGUUAAGAACUUUACCUCAGGAUGAGAACAGAAAUUGUGCGGUGGCGGCGUGGCAGCAGCGGGAGGCCCCAUUAGCUAAAGUGGUACCUCAGGUUAAGAAUGGUUUCAGGUUGAGAACGGACGUCCAGAACGAAUUAAGUUCAUAACCAGAGGUACCACUGUAGUUCACCUAGAUCUAGCUCAGAGCUACCUACUGAACUACAGUGCAGUCUACACUGACAAGCAGCAGACCUCCAGAGUUGCAGAAAGGGGGUUGUUCUCAGCCCUAUCAGGAGAUUCCAUGGAUAGGCCCUAGGGCGUUUGGGGGUCUCAAACCCAGAAAGGUCUUUCCCAUCCCUUGCUAAUUUUUCUUGUUUUAACUGAAAAUUCCCCUGAGGGAACCUGGAACCUUCUGCAAGUAAGCAAGUGGUUCCUGGAGAUCUCUGCUUGCUAUCCCGUUCCAAUUGCUGCUAUGGAAACCCAGGAUCGUGCCAACGACUCAGGAUUUCAGCUGCAAAAAGGGGUUACGGGGAAGGAAAACCAAACGUAGCUCAUGCAAUUUAUUAAAACUGCCAAGUUUGCAUAAUUUAAGCUGAAUGAAAUCACAGUUAAUGGCCCUGUUGCUUGAAGCAGUGUGUUCUGCCAGGAUAUUUUCUUCAAAAAAAGAAAGAAAAAAGAUUUAAAUAUGAAAAGUCUUCCUUUUUAAAAAAGGAAUAAGCAUUCUUCAUUAGCUAGCAGGAUGCAGGAUGUGCCCUAUUUUCAUGACAAUCUUGAGUUGUCAUUUUUGUGUGUGUUCAAAAGGACCAUCUUUACCCUGGGAUAUAACAAACCUCGUGAACUUCACUGGGCAAACGUGAAGCAUCAGCAGGGCUUAUUCAAGCCCACCACAAUGCUUUAGAACUAGGAACCCCGAAAAAAAGGGACAUGAAUAUUCAUCUUCCAAAAUUUAAUUGGAUUUUCUACAAGCUGCACGCUGGAGGAGAAGUAAUAUUGCGAUCGAAAAAUGGAGAGCAUUUACACAAUAGGGGCUCAUUUGUCAGAAUGAUCAAUAAUAUUUUUAUUCCAAAUGAGAGCAAAAAUAAUGUUCUGUGUAAAAUACAAAGUGGGAGAAAAAUGCAGAAAAGGGAAGGGCAGGUGUUUAAUAAUAAGAGGCCCUGCUGGUUCAGGCCAGAAACCAUCAAGACCAGCAUCCCAAUCUUACAGUGGCCAGCCAGAUGUUGUUGUUUAGUCAUUCAGUCGUGUCCGACUCUUUGUGACCCCAUGGACCAGAGCACGCCAGGCACUCCUGUCUUCCACUGCCUCCCGCAGUUUGGUCAAACUCAUGUUGGUAGCUUCGAAAACACUGUCCAACCAUCUCGUCCUCUGUCUUCCCCUUCUCCUUGUGCCCUCCAUCUUUCCCAGCAUCAGGGUCUUUUUCAUAGAUCACUUCCUUGCCGUGGCGAAGGGGCUUGAAUAACUCAGAGAAGCUAUGAGCUAUGCCGUGCAGGGCCACCCAAGAUGGACAGGUCAUAGUGGAGAGUUUUGACCAAACGUGAUCCACCUAGAGCAGGAACUGGCAAGCCACUCCAGUAUCCCUGCCAAGAAAACUCCAUGGACAAAGGCAACAGGCCAGCCAGAUACCCCUGGGAAUAAACUCUCCUCUUGCAAUUCCCAACAACUGGCAUUCAGAGUCAUACUGCCUCUGAGAGUGGAAGAAGGGCAUACAGUGGUACCUCGGGUUACAUACGCUUCAGGUUACAGACUCCGCUAACCCAGAAAUAUUACCUCAGGUUAAGAACUUUGCUUCAGGAUGAGAACAGAAAUCAUGCUCCAGCAGCGCGGCGGCAGCAGGAGGCCCCAUUAGCUAAAGUGGUGCUUCAGGUUAAGAACAGUUUCAGGUUAAGAACGGACCUCCAGAACGAAUUAAGUUCUUAAUCCGAGGUACCACUGUAAUCAUUUUGACCAUUAUUCAGUGACAGCCUUAUCCUCCAUGGUUUUUGUCUAAUCCUCUGUUGAAGUUAUCCAAGUUGGUGGCCAUCACUAUCUCAGAACCUCUGAGUGUUUCUAUAUUCCAGGGCCAGUCCCGGAUUUACAGUAGCCGUCCCGAUUUCUGAUUUGAUCCCAGAAUGUCCCGCUUUUCCUUAGGAUGUCCCUAUUUUCAUCGGAUAAAUGUUGGAGGGUAGGGAGUUAUGCGACCCUCGAGCCAAGGAGAUAAGUAACUGCACAAGCUUUAGAAGACAUCUAAAGGCAGCCCUGUAUAGGGGAGCUUUUUUUUUAAUGUUUAAUGUUUUAUUAUGUUUUUAUAUACAGUGGAUGCUCGGGUUGUGAACGGGAUCCAUGCGGGAUGCACAUUCGCAAGCCGCAGCAGCACAUCUGUGCACACAUGGGUUGAGAUUCAGCGCUUCUGCACAUGCUCAAAGCACAAUUUAAUCUUCUGCACAUGCGCAACAGCCGAAACCCGGAAGUAACCCAUUCCGGUACUUCUGGGUUUCAGCGGUCCGUAAGCCAAAAAAAUGCAAUCUGAAGCGUCUGUAACCCAAGGUAUGACUGUAUGUUGGAAGCUGCCCAGGGUGGCUAGAGAAAACCAGUGAGAUGGGUGGGCUAUAAAUCAUCAUCAUCAUCAUCAUCAUCAUCAUUGACUAGGACAUCCCUAUUUGCACCGGAGAAAAGUUGAAGGGUAUGCUAUCUCUUCUGGGAAUGAAUUCCAUUGUUUUCAAUCCACUGCGUAAAGAAGAACUUUCUUUUGCCUGUCCUAAAUUUUCCAAUUUUCAGGUUCAUUUGAUGUCCAUGAGUGAAACCAGGUGAUUCUAGACUUUGGAGGUUCAUCAGUCUUUGUUGAUUUUACCAGUGCAGUAAAGUGAAUCCUAUCUGCAGAAACCCAAAUGCCAGCUAUCAAAAUACAUCCUCUUUCAGGUGGGUGAAUAAUUCAGGUAUUUCAUGGGUAGAUGCACUUGUGCCUACUGCUGAUCAUUUAGGGAUCUGCACUAAGCUAGCCAAAAGUUGAGAUGCAAGUGGUGGGCGGAUUUACAAAUCUAGCCCAGCAGCCAGAUCCAAUUCCUUGCCACUGCCUCAGACUAAACCAGAAAAUACCCAAGACUCGCUUCCACCCAAAGACUGGAAGACUGGACAUCCCUCUUUGCUGAAGGUGGCAAGUAAGCAACCAUUAAUCAGUAAUUAUGGCCUCUGUUGUGUUUUAGAGGCUUCUGGGCAAAUGUACAGUGGACAUUUGCAUUAUACUUGCAACCAGUAAAACUGAAUUGUACCUUUUUUAAUUUUUGUGACCUAUAUUCCUGUUCCUGAUUUCACAGUCCUAAUAAUCAUUUUAAAGAUAUUUAUUGUACCCUGCCCAUCUGACUGCGUUGCCCCAGCCACUCUGAGUGGCUCCCAACAGAAUAUAAAAAGAACGCAACAAACAUCAGACAUUGAAAUCUUCCCUGUACAGGGCUGCCUUCAGAGUAUAAUUGCUCUUUGACAUCUGACGGGAGGGCGUUCCACAGGGCGGAAACCUCUGCCUGGUUCCCUGUAACCUCACUUCUCGCAAUGAGAGAACCGCCAGAAGACCUUUGGAGCUGGACCUCAGUGUCCGGACUGAACAAGGCGGGUGGAGUUUAGGUAUAUAGGGCCACAGCCAUUUGAGGCCUUAAAGGUUGACCAUGGUAAAUUGUUCCACUGACCAGUGUUGGUAUAUUAUGCAAUGCUGGUUUGUCAGGGCAUCUUCAAGAGUUGUAACAAAUACUGUUAACUGUGAAGCUCGUUAAGACUUGUGAGGUGUUAGAGUGGAGCACAAGAAAAGCCUCAGGGUAGAAGGAGGCAAUUACUCAUCUCUACUAGCAGGCAAUCCUGCCAACCUAGCAGUUCGAAAGCACGACAAAGUGCAAGUAGAUAAAUAGGUACUGCUCCGGCGGGAAGGUAAACGGUGUUUCCGUGCGCUGCUCUGGUUCGCCAGAAGCGGCUUAGUCAUGCUGGCCACAUGACCCGGAAGCUGUACUCCUGCUCCCUCGGCCAAUAAAGCGAGAUGAGCACCGCAACCCCAGAGUCGGCCACGACUGGACCUAAUGGUCAGGGGUCCCUUUACCUUACUAGGAGACAAAGGAUGCUAAAGGCAGAGAUGAGGAACCUGUGCCCACGACCCGGCCAAUAUUUCUGGACUCCAACUCCCAUUAUCACAUGUGCACGCACACUUACACACAACAGCAAGCAAGGGAAGAUGGGAAUUGUAGUCCAGUCGCAUCUGGAGGGGCAGAAGUUUACCACCCCUGCUUCAAAGAGAUAUCCAGAGAUAUUCUGGUACUCAGUACUAGGCAGGGAAUGGGGAACCUCAGGCCUGAGGCCAAAUGUGGCCCUCCAGCCUUCUCUAUGCGGCCCUCAGGACUCUCCCCAGGCCACACAUCCUCCCACAGGCUACACCUCCUUGAGUGAUUUUGCCAGGCUGGAAUGUGUGCUUGAACCAUGAUCAUGUGUCUUCCUGUCUUGUGUGGAGGAUGGAGAUAGAAGGAGAAGGAGAAGGAGAAGGAGAAGGAGAAGGAGAAGAAGGAACUUCUGACCUCUGUGUAGCUGGAAUGUAAGCUACUGUACAAAGGUUAAGAGUUGCAUCCAUUGUUCCACCUGCUUUUGCACAACUCUUGGACUCAAAAAAGCUUCCCAGCCCCUUAAGAAACAUAGAACCUGCUGACCCAGAAGUAGUGGUGGAGGAGAGGUUCAAUUCAGUUCACAUUUAAAGGCAAACUUAACCAAAUUCUCUCUUCUUGAAACAGUAUGUGAACAAAAAUGGAGCCAUCCUUCGAGAUUUGCACUUUUCUGAUUUUUGCAACGCAGUUCUGCAGCCAAGUAAUGUGUACCAAAAAAAGGCAUAUACUAAGGUAACGUGUGCAUUAAAAUGCACAUAUGUGUGAAAGUAAGAAUAUGCAUCAUAGAUGGGGAAACUGCUUUGCAAAAAUGUGCAUAUUAAGAAUUGUGCAUAUUAGGAGAAAUUUGCGCUAAAAUGUUGAUGAAUUUUCACAAAGACUUUAAAAAAAUUCACAGACUGAUGUGGAAAUGAGGAGAACCGAACUUGCAACUGGAAAAAUGUGAAUCACCCAUCCUUUACCAAAAGACAAGGGGAUAGAAAGGAAGGGCUAAGAUGAUAUUGUGGCUUGACUGUGAUGCAUAGGAGGAGAGGUCAAGGAACAGCUCACACUUCCACUGAGGAUUGUCUACACCUCCUACUUCAGGAAUUAUCUCUUCCCUGGCUAACUUUUCCACCUCCACUAACAGCAAGAGGAGCCAUCUUCUCUUAGCUAUUUUGGGAAGCCUCCCUCUGUGCAAUCUGUUGCAGAAUUUCUCUUCCAAGCCAAAUUACAAAAUAAACAGAAACAUACUCCAGGAUGUGGCACAAGCGGCCUUUGCCAAGUGGGCUAUCCUUAGCACUAUACAAACAAGUAACUGGAGGAGGUUUCGAUCCUCUUCCUAGCCAAGAGUUUAAAUUUAACCCCUAAAGACCAUCCUUCCUUUUGCACACACAGAGAGAAAGAAAUUUGGCUGCAUCCACAAUAUACAUUUAGAGCACUGUGAUAUGGCGCUAUUAAACAGUCACAGCUUCCUUCUAAAGAAUCCUGGGAACUGUAGUUUGUGAAAAGCCCCCCUCCCAUGGAACUACAAUUCCCAGAGUGGUUUAACAACCAACCCAGGGAACUCUGGGAAUUGUAGCUCCGCUGCAAGGGGUCUCCUAACAUACUUCAGCACCCUUAACAAAUGACAAUUCCCAUGAUUCUUUCGGGGUUGCCAUGACUGUUUGAAGUGGUGGGGUGAGCUCCUGCUGCUCUGUCUAAGCUCUUGGCAGCCUAGCAGUUCAAAAGCAUGCCAGUGCAAGUACAUAAAUAGGUACCACUGCGGCAGGAAGGUAAACGGCAUUUCCGUGCGCUAUGACUUCCAUCACAGUGUCCCGUUGCGCCAGAAGCUGUUUAGUCCUACUGGCCACAUGACCCGGAAAGCUGUCUGUGGACAAACGCCGGCUCCCUCGGCCUGAAAGCGAAAUGAGCACCACAACCCCACAGUCGGCUUUGACUGGACUUAUCCGUCCAGGGGUCCUUUACCUUUUUUACCUUAAAGUGGCAUGAUACCACUUUAAACAUAUAGUGCAGAUGGCACAGAUAUGGGUAGAUAUCUCCAUCCCUGGUUCCAAUGCAUUAAUCUACCUCCCACUCUCACCAAGGGCUGCACAUUUGCUACACCCAACGUGUGACAAAGCAGUAUCAUCCAUUGUAUUAAAGAGGGCAACGUUCACCUUUUAGCACUUGGAUUUCUGACAGCCGCCUGCACAGGGCUGGAUGGGAGAGCCUGACAAAUAACUCAGGCAGCUAAUUACCCCCUCCGUGUUGUCAAGCUCGGAACAUUAGCAAGUUGCCAAUUGGCAUUAGGAAAGCUGCCUGCUUUUGGCCUAGGUGUGAAUUGACUGGCAGACUGCAAGCCAGUGCAUGAUCACUCCUGCAAAGGGUUUCAUAUCUCAAAGCAUUUUCAAAACACAAAGCUGCUUCCCAUACGAUGACAAAUUCCACAGAGACAGCUGUGUUAGUCCGUUACAGCUUUGCAUACAAAAUGUCACUCGGAGUGUACUUAUUGCAUUUCAUCGCCUUUUCCUCCCACCAUUUACAAUUUGGUUCUCUAUAGCGCCGAACGGGACUAUUUGCCCCGCGAAGAUGACAACGCUUCGUGCAUCUAACGACUGACCUCCAGCUCAUGCUAAACAAUCAGCCUUGAAGUGCCAGGAAAUUCAUUGUGUGGAUGCACACAUAGUGGGUUAUCUGCUUGCAUGGCAGAAAACUGAGGGCACUCCUUGUGCGGACAUCAUCACAGGACAAUCUUAAUCUGCUUGAGGGAUAAGCAAAUUAUGGUCCAAAGGGUAUCAAGGAUAGCCCCCAGAUAGAAAGCCAAAUUCGAGUAUGAUUCAUCCAUGACCUGAAUCCACAUUCUGCAACCUGAGUUAUACAAAUUAUGCACAUUUAAUAUUCUACUCUACUUCCCCAAAUUACAAGGGAAGAGCAAAUGAACUUUGCUUGAUAACAUAUAUAAUUCACUUAUAUCCAUUGCUUGCUUUUUAAAUAUUUUAAAUCUAUACUGUUUAGAAACUUUAGGAAUUAAAAAGCAGCGGCAAAACCUGCUGGGCCGGCAAUGGGCAGGAAGGAAGUAUAUAAAUGAAUGAAUUGCGUUAAUGAAAUGAAUUAAUAUAUGAGCGCCAUGGGUCUGUUGAUGGGAGAAGAGGUUAAAAAAUAACAGCAGCAGCCAAAUCUCUAUCUUUCUCAUAAACACAUACACACACAUACACACAAUUUUAGAGAGAGAUGGUGGGUGGUGGGGAGGUUCAACCAGGGAGCCUAUAAUUUAUCUACUGGAAGGACAAGAUAAAUGGGCAGCUAUCAACACAGAAAAUGGAGAGUCUUGUCACUGAGGUUCAGGAUUUUACAUUUAUUUUAUGCUUUCAUUCAUGUGUGUUUUACAUAAUUUUAUUCAGAUUUGCAUAAAUUCAAUUUCUCCCAUCCCAUCUUAUUUUAUUUCAAUAUUUCAUUUUAAGUGUUUGUUAAAAGAGGAACAGUGGUUCCCUUUAAAAAAUAAUAAUAAUAAGGGAUGUAUUGUGAUCUGCCAGGGAAAUUUGCUAUGUUAAGUUUAUGUUGCAGUUUCUUUCUGUCUGAGUUAGGAACUACUGAUGUUACUUGCACACAGAGCCAGUGUGGCGUAGUGGUCAGAGUGUUGGACUGGGACCUGGGAGACCAGGGUUCGAAUCCCCACUCAGUCAUGAAGCUCAUCGGGUGAUUUGAGCUUAACCUACAUCACAGGGCUGUAGUUAAGAUUAACGAAGAGUGAGGAACCAUGUACCCCACCUUGAGCUCGUUGGAGAAAUAGGUGGGAUAUAAAUGAUCUAAGUAAAUGAAUACUGCUAAACUGCUGAUUUGUGAUUGUCACAAGUGAAUGACUAGAUACAACCAAAGAAAUAUAAAUUAAUAUACAGUGGUACCUCGGGACGCGGGUGGCGCUGUGGGUUAAACCACAGGGCCUAGGACUUGCCGAUCAGAAGGUUGGCGGUUCGAAUCCCCGCGACGGGGUGAGCUCCCAUUGCUCGGUCCCUGCUCCUACCAACCUAGCAGUUCAAAAGGACCUCAAAGUGCAAGUAGAUAAAUAGGUACCCCUACAGCGGGAAGGUAAACGGUGUUUCCAUGUGGUGCUCUGGUUUGCCAGAAGCGGCUUAGUCAUGCUGGCCACAUGACCCGGAAGCUGUACGCUGACUCCCUCGGCCAAUAAGUGAGAUGAGCGCCGCAACCCCAGAGUCGGUCACGACUGGACCUAAUGGUCAGGGGUCCCUUUACCUUUUACCUUUACCUCGGGUUACAAACACCUCAGGUUACAAACACUUCGGGUUACAGACUUUGCUAACCCGGAAGUAGUACCUCGAGUUAAGAACUUUACCUCAGGAUGAUAACAGAAGUCGAGCAGCGGCAGUGGGAGGCCCCAUUAGCUAAAGUGGUACCUCAGGUUAAGAAUGGUUACAGGUUAAGAACAGACCUCCGGAACAAAUUAAGUUCGUAACCAGAGGUACCACUGUAAUCUCCCCCCCACACACACACACACAUUACUCUGCUUUCUACUGCUGGGCAGGUCAUUAAACAGUUUCUCCAUUUGCAACAAGCAAGGAUCGCUGCCAGUCUUUCCAAGAAUUUUGGCAUGUAUUGGCAGUGCCCAGCACCUAAAAGCUACGCAUUAAAUUACUGCAAAAGUAAGAGUUGAGAAAGCAUCAGCAAAGUGUAUAUUGAAGUUUGCUGUUUAAUUAAUAAAUGAUAGUGUUGCAUGCGUGCCAAAACAGAAUCAGCCGUGAAGGCUUCUUACACCCACCCAAAAAAACAGGCAUGUGAUUCUGGUUGAUAUUUCAAAGGAUCAUCUGAAAAGCCUGGGCCCAGCAGCCAGGCCCGAUUAAUCUUUGAUGGAGUACGCCAUAUGCCUGCACUCAAGAGGUACAAGCAACGGCCAAUCUCCCUGAAUUUUACGACUAUAUCCGAGUAAAAUAGUUAUGCAGUGCAUAAUUUUGCAUUAGCUUUGUCAGAUAAAUAUACAUGUGUGCGCUGUGUUUUCAAUUUGCUGCAGCACAAUGCUAAAAGUCAUUAGCAUUUUAAGGACUACACGAGGACGGAGAUGUCCCAUUUUCCGAAUACCGUGCAACUCAGCCAUUUCCUCCGCGCGCAUAAAAUAUAUCUCCUGAUUUAUAUGUGUGCUCGUAUGAUUCUCAAACCGAAAGAAAUGAAUAAAAUCACAUAAUCUGAUUCUCUUCCGAAAUUAGAUUUCCCUCCCUGUGUAUAAACAAAUAAAUCAGACUGUGGAAACCAUUCCUAAUCAAGAGAGCCGGAGGGUGGGGGGGAGAAGGAAGGCACAAAAUGUGUGUUAACUGGAGUAGCAGAACACAGUUUUAAUAACUAGGCACACACACAAAAAAACACAUUUCAUUCCAAAGGUGAGAGCGAGAAAAAAAUGUGUAGGGACAGGUAGUGUCUUCCUCCUGAAACGAAAGUGCAGGACGGUGGAUUCGUACAGUUGUGUCCAAUGCUAGUCCUAUUCAGAGUAGACCCAUUGAAAUUAAGGACCAUGACUAACUUAGUUCCAUUAACUUCAAUGGGUCUACUCCAAGUAGGACUAGUAUUAGAUACAACCCACUGUUUAACCCACUGUGGACAGGUGGGGUCAAAUGCACCCUCAACAGUACUGGGAGAAAUCAUAAAACCACUGCUCUGUCUCCCUUUCCCCCCCUUGUACUCUGGUGAUUGCUAAGAAUUGGGAUAUGGGGAACGACCACAGUUCAGUGGUAGAGCAUCUGCUAGCACACAGAAAGUGUCAGGUUCAUGGAGCUAGCUGACCUCACUGGAAGAAUCCGUGACCAGAAAGAAGAGGAAUAUCAAGAAGAUUGGAAGAAAUUUGAAGACUAUUUAAAUAGAUAUUGUAACAUUAAAAAUUAGAAGUUACCUGAAAAUAUCAAUUAGGCCUAGGAUUAAAUUAGGAUUUAAUUAAAUAAAUGAGAUUUAGAAGGUUAAGAAAAGUUAAGAAACUUGACUAUAAUUGGAAUUUAUUUAUUUUUAAAUAAUGAUAUUGGAAAACUGCUACAUUUAGUUACAAGGAAAUUCAGACGGGAGGGACUAGAGGAAGUCAAGUAAUAUGUUUAUGAGGUUGGAAGUUUAAUCAAUUAUUAAUUUGUAUUGUAUUUAUGUGUUUGUUGUUAUAUCUUUUGUUGUUAUUUGCUUUAUUUGUUUUAUUUCUCUUUUUAUUUUAUUUGUUUUUCAGUAUGUGUUAUAUUUGUAAGAAACCUAAUAAACAUUAUUCGGGGGGGGGGAGAAAGUGCUAGGUUCAACCCCCAGCGUCUCCAGGGAGGGCUGGGGGAGACCCUUGCCUGAAACAGGACAGCUAGUCAAUGUAGACAAUAAUGAGGUAGUAAGGUUCUUGAAGAGGGACGCGGGUGGUGCUGUGGGUUAAACCACAGAGCCUAGGACUUGCCGAUCAGAAGGCUGGCGGUUCAAAUCCCUGCAACGGGGUGAGCUCCCGUUGCUCAGUCCCUGUUCCUGCCAACUUAGCAGUUCGAAAGCACAUCAAAGUGCAAGUAGAUAAAUAGGGACCACUCCGGCGGGAAGGUAAAUGGCGUUUCUGUGUGCUGCUCUGAUUCGCCAGAAGCGGCUUAGUCCUGCUGGCCACAUGACCCAGAAGCUGUCUGCGGACAAACGCUGGCUCCCUCAGCCUAUAGAGCGAGAUGAGCGCGCAACCCCAGAGUCGGUCACGACUGGACCUAAUGGUCAGGGUUCCCUUUAAGGUUCUUGAAAGCUUCCAUGAACAGUGUCUCCAAAAAAAUGUACACAUCACUGGGGAAGACAGGCGAACUAAUGCCAGUGUACUGGAAGAAGCAAACAUCACCAGUGUCAAAGCAAUGAUUCUUCAACAUCAACUUUGUUGGACUGGUCAUGUUGUGUGGAUGCCUGAUUAUCAUCUUCCAAAGCAACUACUCUAUUCCAAACUUAAAAAUGGAAAGUGUAAUGCUGGUGGUCAACAAAAGAGGCUUAAAGACUGUCUCAAGGCAAAUCUUUAAAAAUGUAGUAUAAACACCGACAACUGGGAAACACUGGCCUGUGAGCGCUCCAGUUGGAGAACAGCCUUUGCCAAAGGUGUCAUGGGCUUUGAAGACACUCAAACUCAGGACGAAAGGGAGAAACAUGCUAAGAGGAAGGCAGGCUUGGCAAACCCUCACCAUGAUCAACUCCCACCCGGAAACCACUGUCCCCACUGUGGAAGGAUGUGUGGCUCCAGAAUUGGCCUCCACAGUCACUUAUGGACUCACAGUUAAAACCGUGUUCAUGGAAGACAAUCUUACUCGGCUACAAGAGAUCGCCAAAGAAGAAGACUGAACUAGAUGGACCAAUGGACUAACUCACUAUAAGGCAGCUCCCUUUUGAUUUCCCGCAAUCCUUCUGACAUAGCACUACACUGAAGCAUUGUGGGAAAUUUAAAUGGCAGCCCCCAUUGGGGGAUCUGGGAGCAACCAUUUUAAUGGAAAAUGGAGCAGGAAGAGCACUGUGGAUUUCUGAGGGACUAUCUAUUGAAACCUUUCCAAAGUGCUGUAAGAGGUACUGGCAGACAUGCAGGUGCCCAUAGGUGCCCAUGUUGGCAUUCCAGCAUCCUAAAGGGAACUUAUAGCAGAGCUUUACUAUGCCCCCAGUACCUCCAAUCUGCGAGAACAGUUGGCUUUCCUCUUUUACACUCAGGAGAGCUUUCUUGACAAAGCAUGUAUUGCCUGCAACCAACUUAAAUUAAUGUGUUUUGGAUAUCGGCCAGCACAGGAAACAAAUUGGCCCUUGCAGCUUUCUAAGCAUACCUUGAAAGGUAAUGAGGCAAAGGAAACACAGGUGCUUAAGGAGGAGGGGGGAGAGCCCUGAACAGCCACAACGUAAGCUGAAAAGAGCCCCCCCGAUGCAACACGAGGAAUACACUACCGUGUCACCCACUAAUCACCCAACUGUCCCCCACACUUCAGUAAACAGAGAACACGGCUUAGCAUCUUGGGCCAAGCUAGCAGAAAGCAAAGGAAGGAUCCCUUAGUAUGGCAGCAAUGAACGCUUAGCAGACCACGGGCCAGAUCCAAACUGCAAGGACUGGGAAGGCUAUCACUGAGGGAUGCUGCUUUCCAUAAUCGAGGUUUGCUCCCCCAGCAUCUCCAGGAAUAAUAAUAAUAAUAAUAAUAAUAAUAAUAAUAAUAAUACAGUGGUACCUCGGGUUAAGAACUUAAUUCGUUCUGGAGGUCCGUUCUUAACCUGAAACUGUUCUUAACCUGAAGCACCACUUUGGCUAAUGGGGCCUCCUGCUGCCGCUGCUCGAUUUCUGUUCUUAUCCUGAAGCAAAGUUCUUAACCCGAGGUACUAUUUCUGGGUUAGCGGAGUCUGUAACCUGAAGCGUAUGUAACCCAAGGUACCACUGUAAUAAUAAUAAUAAUUUUAUUUAUAUCCUGCCCUCCCCAGCCAACGCUGAGCUCAGAGCGGCUAACAACAGUAAAAAUAGCACAAUUUACAUAAAAUCACAGUCAAUUAAUUGAAAUACAUUCUAAAAUCAAUUCAGAAUCAAAUUAAUGGAAACCAUUGGGCUAGAGUUCUAUGAGGAUUACAGAAGGAGAGAGGGGGUCAGACUGUGCCUUGGCCAAAGGCCUGGUGGAACAGCUCUGUCUUGCAGGCCCUGCGGAAAGAUGUCAAGUCCCGCAGGGCCCUAGUCUCUUGUGACAGAGCAUUCUACCAGAUCAGGGCCACGGCCGAAAAAGCCCUGGCUCUGGUUGAGGCCACCCUAACUUCCCUGUGGCCCGGGACCUCCAAGAUGUUUUUAUUUGAAGACCAUAGGGUCCUCCAUGGGACAUACCAGGAGAGGCGGUCCCGUAGGACUAGGAACGUCCCCAGAAUGAAACCCUGGAGAGUUGUUGCCAAGCAGUGCAGACAAAUACAGUGCUAGACAGACCAAUGGCCUGAGAUUCAGUAUCAGGCAGCUUUCUGUGUUCCUCAUUUGAUAUUUACUUGGGUGCAGUUAUGUACUGGCAACUCAGGAAGUGCAGGGUCCCUUUGUGAUACUAACAGUCAUGCCCCCUUCUAAGAUUAUACAGCCUUCUAAGAUUAUCCAGUGGUCAUAUAAUUAUACAACAAUAAAAACGAAGGAUGCUUUGCAAUGAUGUGCUGCCUUUCCACUAGAUCUAGUAUUUUCUGUGCACCCGCAUGGGCAAAUAAUUUGGAGUGCUCCGCUAUCUUAUUUCAGAACGGCUCAAGUCGUGAUUUCCUAGAAGUUUCAGGAAACAGAAUUUGCACACCAUUCUUUUGAAACACAUUGUGUUUGCCAGGUCAAGGUUUUCUGCAUGUUUCCGUCCUCUCCCUCCUAAAUCUGUUCUAGGAGUUCCCUCAAGCCUGGGGAGGGCAGAGGGCAUGCAAGGGAAAGGGAGAAGCUCUGUUUGCAGAAGUGCACAUCCUUGGAGUGGCAGGACACCUUAGCUGGAAACCACCCAUUAUUUUAUUCUUGACAUCUUUCCCACCAAGGGCUCCUUUGGGAGGAAGUAGAAGGUAAAGGGACCCCUGACCAUUAGGUCCAGUCGUGGCCGACUCUGGGAUUGCGGCGCUCAUCUCGCUUUAUUGGCCGAGGGAGCCGGUGUACAGCUUCCGGGUCAUGUGGCCAGCAUGACUAAGCCACUUCUGGCGAACCAGAGCAGCGCACGGAAAUGCCAUUUACCUUCCCGCCGGAGCGGUACCUAUUUAUCUACUUGCACUCUGACGUGCUUUCGAACUGCUAGGUUGGCAGGAGCAGUGACCGAGCAAUGGGAGCUCACCCCGUUGUGGGGAUUUGAACCGCCGACCUUCUGAUCAGCAAGUCCUAGGCUCUGUGCCACCCACAUCCCCCUUGGGAGGAAGAGGGGGAUGUAAAUUUUAAAGCAAACAAACAAAUAAAUAAAUAUGGGCACAGAAACAAUAGCUGGCUCUCUUGUAGUUGCAUUCCAGCAACUGGUAUUCAAAGGCUCUGAUCCUUCCCUGUGAAGUUGACCCAUCCCCUUUUAAACUUGCUGGCCACUGCUUUAACUGCAAGACUCCAUCAAUUUCCUUAGUCCUGAAGGAGCAUCUCCACCCCUGUCAUUCAGCGCAGACACUGAGGUCCAGCUCCAAAGGCCUUCUGGCAGUUCCUUCACCGCAAGAAGUGAGGUUACAGGGAACCAGGCAGAGGGCCUUCUCGGUAGUGGCACCCGCCCUGUGGAAUGCCCUCCCAUCAGAUGUCAAGGAAGUAAACAACUAUCUGACCAUUAGAAGACAUCUGAAGGCAGCCCUGUUUAGGGGAGUUUUUAAUGUUUAAUGUUCUAUUAUGUCUUUGCAUAUGCUGGAAGCCAUCCAAAGUGGCUGGGGAAACCCAGUCAGGUGGUCAGGGUACAAUUAUUAUUAUUAUUAUUAUUAUUAUUAUUAUUAUUAUUCUCUUCUCACUGCAGCCUUCUUGGCUACCUUCUCUCAACAAUCGGUCACCACUAUUCUGUCCACAAACCUCUCAUUUCAGUGUGUGGGUCCAACCAGUCAAAACAAGUUACAGGUUAUACCAAGUGGGUGGGGGAAAUAGUCAAUCUUAUUCAACACCCACCAACACAGAUUGGCAUUUCAUCGCUGGCGCUUCACUAAAGCUACCUGCCCCAUGUGAUGCACAAUAUUCGUAAUGUCAAGACCUAUUAUUACCUCCCACUAUGGCAAUUUAAUACAACGCGCAAUUAAGAAUCAGUAUUCGUGUCAGUGGACCCGCUGAGCUGUUAACCUUACACAAAACAGACCUGCCAGUGUCCAGCGCAACGCAGAGUGAAAAAAACAUUUGCAGCUUAUCUCAAAAGGUUUCUGUUUGUUUCCCUACUUUCCACAGGUUGUUGAUCGCCAUUGCAGUCGACUGAUCCGGUAGCCAUUCAGUUUGUCAACAUGGCCACAGGCCUCUGAGCUAUAUCAUUGGAGUCGUAUCACAUUCCUGGCCUUGCUUCAGUCUAAUGAAUGCAAAGGCAAACAUCACCCACAUGAGACAUACGUCAGAUACAGUGGUACCUCAGGUUACGAACUUAAUUUGUUCUGAAGGUCCGUUCUUAACCUCUCUGGGCAACUUCCAACAUACAUAAAAACAAAAUAAAACAUUAAGCAUUUUUUUAAAAACCAAAAAAACCCCACCCUUCUCUAUACAGGGCUGCCUUCAAACUGCUCAGGGGUUGGAUAACUCCACGCCUUCCAACGUUUUCCCAACGAAAAUAGGGCUUCCUAAGGAAAAGCGGGGCAUACGGGGAUCAAAUCAGAAACUGGGAUGGCUACUGUAAAUCCGGGACUGUCCCUGGAAAACAGGGACACUAGGAGGCUCUGCUACUGGGGUGGAGAAACUGAGAGGCAACACUUUGUGGAAGGUCACCAGCUGCUGUCAAGUGUGGAGAGCCAAGGAGUUAUUGGGGUAGGGUGGGGUGGAAGUGGGGGGCAUGGGAGGAGGCAGAAACUAACAUUUCAUCUCAGGUGUGGAAUUGGAUGCGCCGUCCCUGUACUGAGGCAUCUUGCUGAUGGCACAGAAGGUAUUAGUGGGUACAUUUGCACCUGUGGACUCUACACUGAUUAUCCUGGUCAAACGGCAGCAUGCUAGAAAGGCAAUAAAAUCCAGAAAAAUGGGGAUAGGCCACUGUAACAGAUCUAGACCACCAUAGUUGUCAACCAUCCCUUAUUUGGCGGGAAAGUCCCUUAUCCCAGCGCUGUGUCCCGCUGCUGUCCCUUAUUGAGGAUGUCCCUUAAAUUUCCCGGGUUUCAAAGGAAGCAGCUCCUCUCCCUCCCUCCCUGCUGGCCAGGGAGGAGGGAGGCUCCAACUGUGUUGCUUGGCUGCGUUGCUCACCCAAUAAGGAGUCGACUGGGGGGCUUGCAUGCCUUGUGCCGAUCAAAUCGGCCGCGUUGCCUGGGGACUCGCCUUUGCUCAGCGCUUCCCAGCGGAGAGGUGAUGGUGGUUUUCCUUGCUGCAUCCCCUUUGCCGGGUUGCUGUGCUGUGGGAACCAACACUUAUGGCUUCAUUUGGCUGCUGGCUGGGCUUUCUGCCUUUGGCUUGGAGGGGCUCAGAAGUUGAACAUACCUGUGCUUGGAAAAUCCCUUAUUUUGGCUGCUGGUCCCUUAUUUUCAAAUCUGUAAGUUGACAGCUAUGCUAGACUAGCCAAGAAAAUAAGCCUGCAGAGAAAGCUAGGUGUCUCUGCAGGUAUUCAGAACUGGCUACAACUCCACCAGAGGAGCAAGGACGCAGGAGAUAACAAGUGAGUGCCUUUGUUUCUAAUAUUUCAAAUUAAACACUGGAGCUGUUCCAUAGGGUUCAUCUCUAUCUCUCCCUCUUCAUGGUAAGGGCAUCUUUUCCAUCAUCUAAUUUGCAGAUUGCCCAAGGCACUCCCUGACAAUCUGAAGAAAGCUCUACAGCUUUCAGUGCGACGGCACGAGCAGACGCUAACGGAGGCGAGCAGGAGGUGAAGAUUGGAAAGGUGAUGGCAUAAUACGAAAUGCUGUACGGCUUUAUCAGAGGAAAGAAAAAAGCCCCACUGAACAACCCAGUAAAAUUUAAAAACAGCGUGGUUCCAACAUUGCCAGCAGGGGGGUCGAUAACCUUUAUAGGACCGGGAGGCACGUUUUUGAUUUAGAGAGUGUGCUGUGGGCACAAGUCACAAAAUAGCUGCCGUGGAGGAAGGGGCAGAACACAAAAUUGGAGAGACAGCCACUCUUGUGGGCAAUGCAUUCGUUGGGGACAGAAUAUGCUGCCGCUGGGGAUCCUGCCACCUGAGGCAGACUCCUCACCUUGCCUCAUGGGUGGGCUGGCCCUGAUUGCCCUCAAGCCCUGAGCCUCUGCAUGACGACCGUGAGAAACAGGAAGUUGGAUGUGAUGGAUUCAGCUGAGCUCCGUCGGAUGCUAAAUUUUGUUUCUCCUUCAUGUGUUGUGGGAGUGAAACUAUUUUGGCAACCAGAGCCUAGAAACUUCCAUUUUAUUUUGAGAACAGUUUGUCUUUCUGAACCUUUGAAUGCUAUAGUUGGAUGCCUUCCAGCUAUCUAUAUAAGGGGCCUGACAGGCCAGCGCCGUUACUGGGGGUAGACAGCUCUUCUGGUUGCCAGACAGAAAAUCUGGUGAGGCUGGAUUGCUAAAAAUAUUCUAGACAUUCAACCGCAGGCUGAAAACAGAUCUCGUUUGGCAUCAAUUGGAAUUUAGUAAAUUGGAUAAAAAUUGAUCAUUUUCAAUCAAUCCAUAUCCUUUUUCUGUUAGGAUGUUAUGUGUAAGUGUGUUUGCAGGUAAGUUGCCUAGUGGCAAUUUUGAGAAUAUAAUUAUUAUUAUCACCAUAAUCAUCCUUGAUUUAUUGAUCACCUUCUAAACAACCAUCUUGAGGCACUUUACACAUUAGACAAUUAAAAACAUUUAAAAACAUGAAAGCAGCAAAUACAUUUAAAACAAGGCGAGAACAAAAUUUGAGACAGCAACACGGAUACUACUGGUCCAGAGAUAGAAAUAAGACAAAGUUCCAACCAGAGAUGAACGGCUGAUGAAGAUGAUGGACUACACCGAAAUGGCGAAAUUGACUGGGAAAAUCAGAAACCAGGAAGAGAAGAAUUUUAAGAAGAAAUGGGGGAAAAUUAUGAUGCAUUUAAGAGAACACUGUACUGUAAACAGCUUAAAACUUCAGCAGGAUUUGAGUAAUGCUUGUAAUGUACGAAAAACUAUAGUAAAAAUGGAUUGUUUUUCUUAAAAAAUAGAGAAAAUAAGGGAAGCAGUUGGGGGAGAGAUUGAUAAUGGUAACCAUGGAAGGGUGGAGGGAAGUCGAAGGAUUCAGGAAAUCCUAAAUGAUAAUGUGGAUGUUUUGUUGGAAUUUAAAUUUGUUUUAAAACACAUGCCAGCUUUUUAUGUGUGAUUUUAUCUUAUUUUUAUAUUUUCGAACUGUUGGUUUUAUUUGCAUUGGAUUUUUUUUUAGGUUAGCUUGUUUUUAACUCUGAGUUUUAAUCAAGAAUCUUAAUGUAUAUUUAGUAUUCUGUAAACCACUUUGGGGUUUUUAAGACUGAGCCAUGUGAAUGCAGCUGUAAUUUUGUUUUGAAACAAUUCAAAUAAAAUGCUAUAUAUUUAACUUGAAAAGUUUGGCAUGGCUAUCCUAUGUAAUGGGUUUAUAAUGGUUUAAGCCUGUUCUUAUUUUUUUCCCUUUCCCUUUCUCUUUCUUGAGAAAAAGACUAUAACUAUAAAAGUACUCUGUGUGUGUGUAUGUAUGUGCACGGCGCACCUUAAAAGUAUCAUAUAACAAUUAUUUUAUAAUUUAAACAUAUAUCAGUAUAUUAAGACUCCUUUCGAUUUAAAUUUUUAUAGAAUGCCCAUACACCUAGCAAACGCUUAUGCACCACAAGCAUAAUAUGUCUCAUUACGGGUCAAGUUCAAUGGGAUUUACCAUCUGAUAGGCAUGUUUGAGAUUUGCAGCAAUAGUAUAAUAAGAUUCUGGUCUGCGUGCACCCUCUCAAACUAGCCAGAUGUGGACAUUUAGCAAUAUAGCCCAUCUGGGAGCGACAGCAUAUGCUGAACGGAGCUUAAAUAUCCGUGACCUAGUCAUUCCAUUUUGACCGAUCCUUUCCUCAGAGCCAUCUAGCAUCAAAGGAUAGACGCCCCCCCCCCAAGUGCCUUCACCACCCCCAAGUGUGCUGCAAAACUGAAACUUCUGCCCAUAGGCCAGCCUCUGGCAUUACAGUGCCCUUAGCAUUCCCCAUCUCCAAAGGGGGUGUUUGAACUUCGGAAACUUAAGCGCAAGGUGGAAAUCAGGAGUCUUUGGGAAACCUCUGGGCCUUGUUAUAGAAUACAAAUGGAUGUUGCUGUCCUCAAACGAUGAAGGUCAAAAGUAGAAAGGCAGUGUUAUUAUGACGAAUUGUUAUACAGUGGUACCUCUGGAUGCAAACGGGAUCCGUUCCAGAGCCCCGUUCGCAUCCUGAAGCAAACACAACCCAGGUCUGCACGCGCGCGGGUCGCGAUUCGCCACUUCCGCGCAUGUGCAUGACGUCAUUUUGAGCAUCUGCGCAUGCGCGAGCACCGAAACCCGGAAGUAACGCACUCUGUUACUUCCGGGUUGCUGCGGAGCGCAACCCGAAAAUGCUUAACCUGAAGCUACUUCAACCCAAGUUAUGACCAUCUUGGGCCAAAGAACCACUGCGUCUCAAGCACUUAGUCCACCAACAGGAAUUAAAUGCAUUAAUUUAUUUAAAGUACAGUGGUACCUCAGGUUAAGUACUUAAUUCGUUCCGGAGGUCCGUACUUAACCUGAAACUGUUCUUAACCUGAAGCACCACUUUAGCUAAUGGGGCCUCCUGCUGCUGCCGCGCUGCCAGAGCCCAAUUUCUGUUCUCAUCCUGUAGCAAAGUUUUUAACCCGAGGUACUAUUUCUGAGUUAGCGGAGUCUGUAACCUGAAGCGUAUGUAACCCCAGGUACUACUGUAUUUCCAAGCCACCCUUCAUCCAAUGGCUUCCGCGGUGGGGUACAAAAAGUACAUGGCAAGACAUUUUAAAUACCACAUUGUCAUUUACCUUGUAAUUUAUAGUAAACAGGACACUUUGGGUGGAAUUAAAUGCCAUUGCCCAGCUGAGAGUCGUGAAGACUGCUCCCUGUAAUCAGGGACGAAGGAUGUACGUGGGGCCGGGCCGCCCCAGGUGUCACCCCUGAGGGGGGUGACAAAAUGCCUCAGCUGUAGGGCGGCUGAGUAGGAGGAGGCAGGCAGACUCCUCAGAGGCCCCAUGGAGCAUCCUGCCCAGUUGGCCCCGCCCCACAACAACUGGCCCCGCCCCACAGGCAGCUGGCCCCGCCCAUGGGCACAGGGCAUGCACGGUGCCCCAGGUACCCAAUUGGCUUGCUUCGCCACUGCCUGCAAGGCCCUUUCCACCUGGCCUAGGUGGGGGGGCCCACACUCACCAGCUCUACCAAAGAGGCCCCUGGUGAGACUAGAGAGACAUUGCUAUGCCUGAAAACAAACCCAAACUAUUGGAUUCUUUUGCCCCAUCUUUUUGCGCCUGCCAAACAGCCGUGUCUUGUUUAUCAUAUUUUAUUCUCUUGUUAAUUAUGCUGUUUUAAAUGUGCAUUUUAUAUUUGACUCCACUUAGCAAUGGUGGGUUGUUGUUGUUUUGAAACGUUUAAGAUUUUUUUCGUUAACUUUGUUUAUGUUAAAUAUGUAUUCUGUAGCUGACCUCCUUUGCAAUGCUUUAUUUUGAACUCUUUAGGAUAAUCUUUUAGUUUUCUGUUAAUUAUGUUGCUUUGACUGCAAACACUAUAUUGGACUUUCUUCAGAAAUGUUUGAUUCUGGAUUGAUUUGUUGAUGUUUUAAUACGGUGUAAACCGCUUGGAGGGUUUUCUUAAAAAUAUAAAGCGGUAUAGAAAUGAAAUAAUAAAAUAAACACUAAGACCAUUGCUCCAUCAACACAAGCAUUUCUGCCUGCCAGAUGGAUCAAUCUCUCCACUCCAUCUCCCCCCGCCCCCUGAGCUGUUCUGGGGAUUCUCCCAACCCAUAGGCCAGAGUUUUCCCCAUCCUGGAUUAAAAAGACCGCACAGCACAGGCUUCAGAUAACUGUUGGCAUCCGCCUGUCUCGUGAAACAAAGAAGUGCGCCUCCAGGGUGAAAGCCACUUCCAACCUACAGAGGAGGUGGGAUUGCAGGCGUCAUGGCCCCAGCCCCUGCGCGAUUGGGGGAAUCCCCAGCUGUGUCACCCCUGGCCAGCCAAUCGGCUGGCUUUGGGGGCGUGGCCUUCCCGAUUUAAACGCAGGCGCAGCCGGGGAUCUCCCUCUUUUCCAGCAUACCAGCUGCUCCAGUUUCCCACCCUCUCACCCUUUAAGGUUUUGACCUUGCUAUGGACCUUGGUUGGUCGCCGUUGAGGGGCCUGGUUGGAAUUUUUCCACUUGGCAAAUUGGCACCAGCCACUUGGUUUUCGCCUACCUUGUAGCAAAUCGCCACAACUUUCUUGGUACUGGCGGUUAGGCAUUGGUAUCAUUUUGUAGAUGGAAGAGGGGAGGAAGCGCCAUCACCUGCCCCGCAUAUUGAAGGGUAGUACGAUAAAGGAUUCCGGGGGGCGUGGCCCUGUCCAAAGCCUAUGGAGGUGAGGGCCUAAGGCACACCCCCUAGCGGUGACCCCGGGGAAGUUCCUAGUUGAUGUGCAUCAGCAGGACUCCCCCUACUGGUGCUUAACCCUUCCCGGACUUCAAGCGGACGGGCUGAAGCCGGAUAUAGCCAGUUAGGACCAAUGCUUAAGCCAAUACCGCUCAUCACCUGUAACCAAUAAAGUUGUGGCCUUAUUUAGCCCAUUAACCUUAAUAAUUGUGUUGCGUGUCUUUAUUUCCACUGGGGGGGGGGACUCACCACACAAGUCAAAUUGCUGUGUUAGCAGCACUGCGAUGACUUCUCAAAAGGUGCAAGCCUGGGCAGCGUGUCUGGCAGUUCUGGGCUGCCCAGAUGGCAAGACCUCCCUCUCAGCCUCGCUGUUGUGGUCCAAAGGAAAGAAAAGCAAUACAUUUGGCACCAGCUUGUCUGCAGGAGUUGCCAGAAGGAGGCGUACAAGGUGCCAUCCUUACAGUCUCCACUCUGGGUGUGAUGGCCUGGGAUUCAGACUCAGAUGCUGAACCUGAGGGAUCCCAGCCUGCACAGGAUUCACCGCCUCCAGAACCAGCUGAGCCGGGGCUGGGGCAUGAGCCUGAAGGGUCCUCACCUGUGCUGGAUCCUCAGGUGCAGGCACCAGCUGACUCUGCUCGGGCCACUGAGGUGAUGGAGGACCCAUUGCCUGUAAGCGCUCCACUCUCAGCCCCAUCAGAGGAAGCUGAGGUUGCCUCUGGGUCCGGUAACCCUCCAGCCUCUCCUGAGCUGCAGAGGCUCAGGGCAGAGAGGUGGAGGGAACUAAGUUCCCGCAGGAGGAGUGCUCGCCUCCAGGCCAGGAGAGGUGAGUCACCUGAAGAUUGGGGCUGCCCUAUGUCUCGGGGCAGAUAAAAACCAGCCAGCCCCAGUCCCAAGUUGUGGGAGCAACAUUGUUGGUUGCUAAUUCCUGCCUGAACCCUGUCCUGCUUUCCUGCCUGACCUCCUGACCCGCCCUGGCUCCCUGCUUGCAAGCCUGUUCCUGACUUCACCCGGCUCCCUGCCCUGCACCCAGCUUCAGCUACUACGGACUGCCUCCACGUUGCACCUUGACCACGGACCAGACUUGGACCUCGCCUCUCGGGUAACUCACGGGACCAGCACACUGGAUUUGUGUAGGGUUUACUCCUUAGCUUUUUCUUCUCCUGAAGAUAUCCCACAAGGCAGAGGAGGUUUAGGAUCAGAAUUUUCCUUCUCCUAGAUCAGUGGUUCUCAACCUUGGGUCCCCAGAUGUUUUUGGCCUACAACUCCCAUGAGCCCUAGCUCACAGGACCAGUGGUCAGGGAUGAUGGGAGUUGUAGGCCAAAAACAUAUGGGGACCCAAGGCUGAGAAAAGCUGUCCUAGUUGGUCUACCUUCCCAGGUUGAGGAGGCCUCUCACUUCCCUCUACAGCAUAUUCAGAAACUGCCUUUUUAAUCACUGGACCCACUGUUAGUCUUGUCUGCUCGGUCCACAGGAGCCUGCCUUCACAUGGAGGGGUGGUCCCUAAUUCACUGAGGGUUUGAGACCCAUCGGCUACCCUCACCUGGUUUAGUUGGCCGGCCAAAGCUGUUCCAGGGGUGUGGCCGCUGUCACAUGCAGACAGCUUCUAGGAGCCACAGGUAAGAGCUGAGUGCAGGGCUCAGAUGACUAGGAGGUGACAAUACAGGCUUUGCCGCUGUCUCACAUCUUCAAAAGAAACCGUCUGCCAAACAGCAUCAAUUGCAUGCAGCUGUAAUGGGCUUGCUAGCUGAACCUUGCUCUCUCAAACACAGCAGCGGGGCUGGUUCUUCAGAUCAUCUCUGCGCCUCCAUAAUAUAGGGAAGGGAAGGGAAGAGCGGGCUGUGGUGCUCCAGGUGUGGCACCUCUCCCAACAGCCCCAGCCAGCUUGGCCAAUGGACAAGGGUGAUAAGAGCUUGUAGUCCAGCAAAAUCUGAAAGGGCCACAGUUCCCCCAGCCUUGAACUAGGGCUUUUACUACCACCUGUGCAACCCUUAACACAUUGCAAUUACACUUCUCCUAGACAUUAUUAACCUAAAGAUGAAAUACAGUUGUACCUCAGGUUAAGUACUUAAUUCGUUCCGGAGGUCCGUUCUUAACAUGAAACUGUUCUUAACCUGAAGCACCACUUUAGCUAAUGGGGCCUCCCGCUGCUGCUGUGCCACCGGAGCACGAUUUCUGUUCUCAUCCUGAAGCAAAGUUCUUAACCCGAGGUACUAUCUCUGGGUUAGUGGAGUCUGUAACCUGAAGCAUAUGUAACCCGAGGUACCACUGUAAUAGCAAAAUAGAGUUCCACUCCCAACCCAGGCUUAUUACCGUAUUUUUCGCUCUGUAAGAUACACCAGACCACAAGACGCACCUAGUUUUUGGAAGAGGAAAACAAGAAAAAAAAAUCUGAAUCUCAGAAGCCAGAACAGCAAGAGGGAUCGCUGCACAGCGAAAGCAGUGAUCCCUCUUCCUGUUCUGGCUUCUGGGAUAGCUGCGCAGCCGGCAUUUGCUCCAUAAGACGCACACACAUUUCCCCUUACUUUUUAGGAGGGAAAAAGUGAGUCUUAUAGAGAAAAAAAUACAGUAACUUAUUCUUGCAUGUUAGGAUUCUCCUGUCUAACUAAAUGCUUGUGACCUUGGGAAGCAUUUUCCCCUCACCUCUUUCAUUGUCUUAAUAUUGUAUUUUAAGUGAUCUCUGUCCCUCGGACUAAUGCCCAAACUGCGUUGCCAAGCCGCUGGGAUUCUCCAAUCCUGACAGCCAUGCUGCAAAUCUGUUACCUGCUGUUUCUGCAGAAUUCCGCAGCCAGAGAUGGCUCAACGGAGCCAAGAGCGCAGAUGUGUUUGAACUUUAAACAGUCUAGAUAUCAAUUGUUUUGAUCUAUAAGCCCCAGAAGGCCAACUCAAUCACAGAGGUAUCAGGUUAAGCUAAUUUACCAUUCAGAGCCGUCUUCCAGACAUGCCUAAGUUGCAAAACUGUAAGACGCUAGACGGAAGCAAGAAACGGGUAAUUGCUUCCAAACAGGGAGUGAAAUGGUGCAAUGCUCCACCUACCUCAGAAGGGGGAACCGCAGGUCCUGAGAGCAGAAUGUGGCCCUCCCUGCCUCUCUAUCUGGCCCCCAGAGUUUUCCCCAGGCUAGACAUUCCUCCCUGGCCCAAAGUGUUUUUCCUGGCUGGAAUGUGUCCUUGUAUAGGUGCAUGUGUGUAGACACUAGCCUACAGGACAAAGACAAAUCUACAUUCAUUGUUCCACCCACUUUUGCCUUUGGCACUGCCCACCACUGGCAUGCAGCCCCUGGAAGGUGCUCUAUGCUGCAACAUUGGUUUCUCUUUUAUUGCUCUUAAUAGGUAAUGUAACAGCCUGUGAAGUUACCCAACCCAAAUGCACAAUCAUGUACACAAUACACACAGCUCUUAAUGCCUUCCAAGUUCUCCACCAGAUGUUGCCUUCAAUCAGAAAGUGAGAGUCAGUUUCCAAUCUGCAUUUGCUACAAAAAUUGCCUCGAGGCUGCAAUCCUUUUGCAGUCACACUUCCUCCACAAGUAGAUGCAUGCGUGCUUUGUGUGCUUCUAGACCCCUGAGCAGAUUCGCAUUCCAACACACAUGCCAGCAGAUCCAGCUCUACAAGAAUAAUUUAGAGGUGAGAAACCACGAGAGGAAGGUGGGGGUGGGUUCCCUUCCUGCUAUACACUAUGCAUAUACUUGGACUAGCAAUCACUUGUUAUCGUGCAAUAGGGGAAAUGUUCCAUCAUGUGUAUUUUGUAAUUCCAUACUUCUUUUAUCUGCAAGCAGGCAAGUAAACUCAAAACAGACAUGACAAGGGAAAUCUAGGGUUUCAUCUCUCGGCUCCUAGACACUCACUUCAAAGCAGCCAUGGUGGGCUCCUUUCCUAAUCGGAGGAGUGCGUGGCGCUGUGCUCUAAACCACUGAGCCCCUUGGGCUUGCUGAUCAGAAGGUCAGUGGUUCAAAUCCCCGCGACGGAAUGAGCUCCCGUUGCUCUGUCCCAGCUCCUGCCAACCUAGCAGUUCGAAAGCACGCCAAAAAGUGUAAGUAGAUAAAUAGGUACCUCUGUGGCAGGAAGGUAAACAGCGUUUCCAUGCUCUCUGGUUUCCGUCACAGUGUUCCGUUGUGCCAGAAGCAUUUAGUCAUGCUGGCCACACAACCCAGAAAGCUGUCUGUGGUCAAACGCCGGCUCCCUCGGCCUGAAAGCGAGAUGAGCGCUGCAACCCCAUAGUCGCCUUUGACUGGACUUAACCGUCCAAGGGUCCUUUACCUUUACCUUUUGCUAGGGGAGAUGAAGUUUAAUUUUAGUGAGACAGUGUGGUAUAAUGCUUAAAGUGUUAGGUUCAAAUGCCCAGCCCUGCCAGGUGAGCCUGGGUCAGUUGUGGGAUGAACAAAUGACAAGCAAGAAGACACGCAAUCUGCAAACAAAUAAAGAUUAAUGUGGGGUGAUUUUUGCUCACUCCACACACAGAAAUCAGAACAGAUGACCAACAAAAACGAGAUUUAGCCUAACUUCCACGCAAGUCGUGUGCAAACAAAUCAGGAUGAAUGCUCAGUGAACAGGUCAUCUAGAGGUGCCCCAAUUCUCCAGGCAAGCUGAAAAUCUGUGCUCUAUAUGGGAGGGUUUCCAAGCUCUGUAAGAUGGCAGGCAAUUGCUCUGUAUUUUUAACCUCCUCCAGGGCCACUUGAAAAUGGGAUCUCUUCUUGUGGAGUGUAGCACAGCAGUCUGGGAGCAAAUGGUUGUAAAAAUUGUUUUAUGAUGUGGUUUCAGAUUGUUCUUUGCCACCAUGAGGAUCCCGAGGGGCUGAACAGCACAAUAUAGGUAAAGGUAAAGGGACCCCUGACCAUUAGGUCCAGUUGUGGCCGACUCUGGGGUUGCGGCACUCAUCUUGCUUUAUUGGCCGAGGGAGCCUGUGUACAGCUUCCGGGUCAUGUGGCCAGCAUGACUAAGCCGCUUCUGGCGAACCAGAGCAGCUCACGGAAAUGCCGUUUACCUUCCCGCCGGAGCGGUACCUAUUUAUCUACUUGCACUUUGACAUGCUUUCAAACUGCUAGCUUGGCAGGAACAGGGACCGAGCAACAGCAGCUCACCCCGUCACAGGGAUUCAAACCACCGGCCUUCUGAUCGGCAAGCCCUAGGCUCUGUGGUUUAACCCACAGUGCCACCUGCGUCCCGCCUGAACAGCACAAUACAAUAUUAUUAUUAUUAUUAUUAUUAUUAUUAUUAUUAGCAAAAUCAUUUAAAUAACAGACAUGGAGUCCAGAGCAAGCAAAUCUGGAAAGAAAACCCAGUGUAUAAUUUGAGAGCUUUUGCCUUCGUUACUUCAAGCUUUGUAUGCAUACAGCAGAAAGACAUUCAACUAAACAUACAAAGGGAAAACUCCCUCACAACUACAUAGUCAAUCAGAGCAAGCGCUAUGCCGGUAAACACCAAGGCACCCAGCCUGGUUUCUAAGCAACACCUCCUCCACCACACCCUAUUCAAAAUAGAAUUAAAACUUAAGUUACAAACUGAAUGAUCCCUGCUGUUGCACUUCCAACAUAUUUUAUGUAAACAAUCAAUAAAUGCAUACACUCCAAUGCACUCCCACAGGACAGCUCAGAUGUUAUCAGCUGUAUACCUUCCAGAACUGAGUGCUAUUGCUCAUGUGGUCGUCUUCUUCUUCUUUGGCGAUCACUCGUAGCCAGGUAAGAUUGUCUUCCAUGAACAUAAUCUUAACAGUGAGUCCGUUAUUGACUUUGGAGGCCAAUUCUGGAUCAGCACAUCCUUCCACAGUGGGGACAUUGGUUUCCGGGCAGGAGUUGAUCACGGUGUCGAUUUGCCAAGCAUGCCUUCCUCUUAGCACGUUUCUCCCUUGCGUUCUGAGUUUGAGUGUCUUCAAAGUCCAUGACACCUUUGGUAAAGGCUGUUCUCCAACUGGAGCGCUCGCAGGCCAGUGUUUCCCAGUUGUCGGUGUUUAUACUACAUUUUUAAAGAUUUGCCUUGAGACAGUCUUUAAACCUCUUUUGUUGACCACCAGCAUUGCGCUUUCCAUUUUUAAGUUUGGAAUAGAGAAGUUGCUUUGGAAGAUGAUCAGGCAACCGCACAACAUGACCAGUCCACUGGUGAUCUUUGCUUCAUCCAGUACACUGAUAUUAGUUCGCCUGCCUUCCCAAGUGAUGUGUAAGUUUUUUCGGAGACACCGUCAAUGGAAUCUUUUGAGAAGUUGGAGAUGGCGUUUGUAAGUGGUCCAUGUUUCACAAGCAUACAGUAAGGUUGGUAGUACAAUAGCUUUGUAAACAAGCAUUUUGGUUUCCCUGCGAAUGUCCCGGUCCUCAAACACUCUGCACUUCAAUCGGGAGAAAGCCGCACUCGUAGAGCUCAGGCAAUGCUGGAUUUCGGCAUCAAUGUUGACCCUUGUGGAAAGAUAACUGCCUAGGUAGGAGAAGUGAUCACUCAUGUGGUACCACCCAUGCAAAAUAGGGAAUUUGGGAAACCCCAAGGUUUUACAGACCCACAAAAAGUACCAAAAGGAAAAUAUCUCAAGGUAGAAUAAAACGAACCCAACGAGGACUGAGCAUGCUCAGGGACCAUAGAACGCUGACUGAUUAUUUUGUUUUGGAGGAGAGAGUAGGAGGAAGGAUGGAGUAGCCAGAGUCCUCAACAACAGCACACCAUACUGCAACAUUUUGUUGCAGCUCUGACUUAUACUGUCCUACAACAAUGCGGUUCUGCACCACUGCUCAGCACAGUCCUUAAUGGCUCCAUUAUGUGCCAUUCGUCAGCUCAGUGAUCGAGUGUGUCGCUGAUGUCUGGAACAGAGGUGCCACCAUCCCUAUUUAUUAACUCUGCUUCUGUUCUGGCUGAUUUAUCAAAACAGACUCGGUGGCCGAGGUCGUUAGGAGAUUAGCUUCUACAUUCCCCGAUAAGCACGGAGGAACAAACCAAAAAACCAAGCCUUCAUCCGCAUACCCCUGGGCAGCGCCUUUGUGAAGGAAUGCAGGGAACCAUCCAAUUUGACCUCAUUUCUCUUUCGCUUUUCUGAUAGGCAAGGGAGACCAACGCUGUGCAGUCCAAAGUAAAUCUAUUGCACAAGGCAGGACAUCUCUUCCCUCUAGUAGCGUGGAGGAAGCUACCAGUAAGGGUGAUAAGUCAUUUGGUUACCGCGAUCAUCAAUCAGGCACGAAGGCUCAGCCAUUCUGCAGUCUGAAUUCUUUAUCUAACGGAUUCGUCAUACCGGCCGACUGUAUUAAGCUACCCCGUCCUCAUUCCUAUUACUGGGCUCCAACCAAAAAUGAAUCAAUCUCACCCUAAUUGAUGACGUCAGCUUUGCAAACGGGACAGUUGGACUUGGGCCACCUUCAGACCCUCGUCAUUUUGUGGGCCGGGUUCAAGCCCACGUUGGAAAGGUAGGCUUGCACAAUUCAAGUGGGUUAGAGCACUCUGCCAUAACAAAUCCACCACUUCUUUUUUAAAGAAAAAAAACUCUGACUUUUUGCAAAUAGGGGAGAAAGGGGGGGGUGGACAUUGCAAAGCAUGGGAUGGUUAAUGGGAAGAUGCAUAACGAGUGUGCAACUAAAUCAGGAUGAAUGCUCAUCACCCUAGUAAACAAAUCUAGAGAAAUGUUCCAAGGGAGACUUUUGCAUAUUCUUCAACCACAGCACAGCAACACACACAGAUGCCCAGCAGGCAGCAGAGAUUAGUGGUUUGGGUGCACACUCUGCCAUAAGCCAGAGAGAAGAAUUUUGUGGCAGGAGCUGCCCUCUCCUCCUGUCCUGGACAAUGUCAGCUAUUCUCCUGGAUAUCUAAUCGUUUGUGUGUGUGUGUGUGUGUGUGUGUGUGUGUUUAUGUGGAAGAGCCUUUCAAGAAAGGGACUGCCCUUCAUCAAGGACGAGGCAGCCAGAACCACCACUGCAGUCAGCUGAAACUGCAAACUUGUGCUUAAGCUCACCUUCCCCUUCCUGUUCCUUGUAUACCUGAAGGAGCGUCUCCACCCCCAUCGUUCAGCCCGGACACUGAGGUCCAGCUCUGAGCACCUUCUGGCGGUUCCCUCCCUGCAAGAAGCGAAGUUACAAGGAACCAGGCAGAGGGCCUUCUCGGUAAUGGCACCCGUCCCAUGGAACGCCCUCCCAUCAGAUGUCAAAGAAAUAAACAACUUUUAGAAGACAUCCACAGCCAGCCCUGUUUAGGGAAGUUUUGAAUGUUUGAUGUUUUAUUGUGUUUAAAUAUUAUUUUGGGAGCUGCCCAGAGUAGCUGGGGAAACCCAACCAGAUGGGUGGGGUACAAAUAAUAAAUAAUAAUAGUUGUUGUUACUUUUGUAUUGUAUCUUUUUAAGAUUGCGAGUCUGAGGGCAGAGACCUACUCAAUACAGAUUUUUUUCUUGUUAGUUGCUCUGAGAACCAUUUUUUUUUCCCCUUAAAGGGCAACAUAUAAACAUCGCAAAUAUAUAAUAACAAAUCAGUGCAAAAAAAAAAAAAUGCAACAGGAUUUUGUGUGCUGAAUGUGCAACCUUGUAUAUAUAUAUACAGGUUAACAGAUGUGUGAGACACAAUCAUCUCUCUCUCUCCCUUGCUUGCUCACUCGCUUCUUUUUUUCUGCCUGGCUUAAAAUAUUCAGUUCCCAUCACACCUGGUGGUUUAUAUAUUCAAGAGUUGGAGCUCUGCUGAGCUGGCAAACCCAGUGGGAUUUCAGAGCAGAGAACAGGGAAGAAUGACCGGGAGGGGGAGGGGAUGAAACCCACAUGAAGGCCCCUCUUGCCUGUACUGUUGUGAACCCUUUCAGGGGUCAGCAAACUUUUUCAGCAGGGGGCCGGUCCACUGUCCCUCAGACCUUGUGGGGGGGGCAGACUAUACUGUAUUUGGGGGGGGGGAUGAACGAAUUCCUAUGCCCCACAAAUAACCCAGAGAUGCAUUUUAAAUAAAAGGACACAUUCUACUCAUGUAAGAACACGCUAAUUCCCGGACCGUCCGCGGGCCGCAUUUAGAAGGCGAUUGGGCCAGAUCCGGCCCCCGGGGCCUUAGUUUGCCUACCCAUGCCUUAACUCCUUUUGGAAGGGAAGCAAAUGUCUUUGCAUCCCACCUUUGCUUUCCUGACACACACACACACACACACACACACCGACUUAAAUUCCUUCAGGUGCAAUUUAAGAAAAGACAGGAGAGCGAAGAAGUUAUUUAGGCUGAACCAAUGGGUGAGAUCAAGAAACAAAUCAAUUCCAUCAUUAUACCAUCAUUAUAUAAUACCAGACAGAGGGAAAGAGAGACGAACUGCAGGAAAAUAAAAUAAAAACGUGCCACUCUAUUUGAAUAUUUCCAAUUCCGCCUGUCACCUUUAAUUCCUUAGUGUUGAUACCGGAGUUGGAAAAGUGGCAGAGAAAUAGUAAUAUCCUUACAUUACAUCUGUCAAGCACCAACGGGGGCGGGGAGCUGAGCUGAGCAGUGGGAAGUGGAAAUCCGCAUUCACCCCUUCUGUGUCUAGAUAUUCCCAGGCUGCAAAGCUUUCGGCAGGAAGGAAGUCUUCUCUCUGUUUUCUGCUUCGCACAUUUACCUCAAAGGGCUGUAAGGUCAGGGCUGUGGAGCACCUGCUUGGCAUGCAGAAGGAAGGCCCAAGGCUCAGUCCCCAGCAUCUCUGGGCUGGGAUUGACUCCUGCCGGAAAUCCCAAAGAGCUGCUGGCAGUCAGUGUAGACAAUUCUGAGACAGGGGGUGUUUUCAACUCUAUCUGGAAAGGCCAGGGAUUGGAGCUGAAACCUUCUGCAUGCAAAGCAGGUGUUCAAGCAAUGAAUGAUGGCCUUCCCUGGGUCUGAGAGGGUUGCUGUGGAAGAGCAAUGGUGAUGAUGAAGGUAAAGGGGGCAGAGCUUGACUCCUGGCAGCCCCUGUUCAAGACUCCUCCAGCAUCUCUCUCUCUCUCUCUUUCACACAUCACACAAUCUUCACAGAACUUUAGCUUAAUGGUUGCCAUCAAUUUGAGUUGAAUUAGUUUUAUAAUGAAAUGUUUUUAGAAUGUUGUACUAUUUUAUUGUUGUUAGCCACCCUGAGCCCGGCUUCGGCUGGGGAGGGCGGGAUAUAAAUAAAUUUUAUUAUUAUUAUUAUUAUUAUUAUUAUUAUUAUUAUUAUCAUUUUUAAUUUGUAUACCGUCUUUCUAUCUUACAGUACUCAAGGCAGUUUACAAGCUGAAGAAACAAAAAAUGUACAUCUUAUAACAAUCUAACGCAAUACAAAAAUGUAUACAUAACAAAAAUGUAAACAUAACUUUAAAAUAGGCAACCUACAUCAAAAAGUAGCAUUCAUUAGAAUAUUAUUGAAUAAUAACAUAUAAAAGUUAAACAGAAAUCCACUCAACAGUUACAAUAAAUAAUUUCUAAACUAUAAUCAAUAAAACAAUGGCAAGCCACCGUACACAAAAAAAUACAUUACAAAUUGAGAAGCAGAGACUAGAGGGUGGGGCAAGGCAGGUAGAAGGAGGCCUUGCCUGAUGGAGUCUCUCCCCUCCCACACACAAACAUAAGAGCCCUGGUGGAUCAGGCCAAAGGCCUGUAUAGUCCGGCAUCCUGUUCUCACAGUGGGCAACCAGAUGCCUGGCGAAACCAGAGCAGCGCACGGAAACGGUGUUUACCUUCCCGCCAGAGUGGCACCUAUUUAUCUACUUGCACUUUGACAUGCUUUCAAACUGCUAGGUUGGCAGGAGCAGGGACCGAGCAAUGGGAGCUCACCCCGUCGCGGGGAUUCGAACCGCCGACCUUCCGAUCGGCAAGCCCUAGGCUCUGUGGUUUACACCAUAGCUCCACCUGCAUCCAUAAAACAUCAGACAUUAACAGCUUCCCUAAACAGGGCUGCCUUCAGAUAUAUUCUAAAAGUCGUGUGGUUCUUUAUCUCCUUGACAUCUGAAGGGAGGGUGUUCUACAGGGAGGGCGCUACUACCGAGAAGGCCCUCUGUCUGGUUCCCUGUAACUUCACUUCUCACAGUGAGGGAACCACCAAAAGGCCCCCAGAGGUGGACCUCAGUUUCUGAGCUGAACAAUGAGGGUGGAGAGGCUCCUUCAGGUAUACUGGGCUGAGGCCAUUUAGGGCUUUAAAGGUCAGCACCAACGUGCUGAAUUGUACCACUCUGGCAAGACAGUGUGUGGACAGGUAGGGGCUCAUCCAGCGUACCAGAUGGAGCUGGUAGACACAGAACUGACCUGUAGAUGCAUUCUGCCCACCUGUGAUUUCCAACAGCUACUCAGGACAUACAGUGGUACCUCGGGUUACAUACGCUUCAGGUUACAGACUCCGCUAACCCAGAAAUAUUACCUCGGGUUAAGAACUUUGCUUCAGGAUGAGAACAGAAAUCGUGCUCCGGCGGCGCGGUGGCAGCAUGAGGCCCCAUUAGCUAAAGUGGUGCUUCAGCUUAAGAACAGUUUCAGGUUAGGUACAGACCUCCGGAACGAAUUAAGUUCUUAACCCGAGGUACCACAGUAUCUUCUGGCAAGACAGUGUGUGGACAGGUAGUGUGUGGAUAGGUGUGGUUCUUUAUUUCCUUGACAUCUGAAGGGAGGGUGUGUCACAGGGAGGGCGCCACUACCGAGAAGGCCCUCUGCCUGGUUCCCUGUAACUUCACUUCUCGCAGUGAGGGAACCACCAAAAGGCCCCCGGAGGAGGACCUCAGUUUCUGAGCUGAACAAUGAGGGUGGAGACGCUCCUUCAGGUAUACUGGGCUGAGGCUGUUUACGGCUUCAAAGGUCAGCACCAACAUGCUGAAUUGUACCACUCUGGCAAGACAGUGUGUGGACAGGUAGACAGAUGGAGCUGGUAGACACAGAAAUGACAUGUAGAUGUAUUCUGCCCACCUGUGAUUCCCAACAGCUACUCAGAACAUACUGCCUCUGACAGUGAAGGGAGAGCAUAGCCAUUGUGACUAUUAGCCACUGAGCAUUAUCCCACAUUAAUUCAUCUAAUUCUCUUUUAAAGCCAUGCAACCAGUGCCUAUCGCUACAUCUUGUGGGAGCAAAUGUCAUAGUUGUGCUGUGUGAAGAAUGCCUUCAUUUCGUCUGUCCUGAAUUGUCCAGCAUUCAGGUGGUUCCAGGUCCUUGCAUUAUGAGGAAGAAAAAUGUCUUCCUGUCCACUUUGCUAUCCCAAAUCACAGACACAACUGUACGAGUGUUGCCAAGAGACUUCUCUGUAUUGCUGCUGAAUAAAGAACAGCCAGGUAUUUGUGUGAAACAGCAGCAAAAGAAAUGAAGAUUCUCACUUUGACCCAAACACACCGCAGGCGUGUCCUGGUGCCUUUUGCGUUAAAUUUGCCUCCAGCACCUUUGCAAAAACAAAACAACCCCCUGCUAUCCAACCCUUCAUUAUUCACAACUAAAGACAUGCCCAGGUUAAAGGAAACAAUAUCUUUGUGGAAGAAAAAUAAGCCCACAGCUGCUCUAACUCCCUGCACUGUAUCUAUUUCUGGCAACCUAUUGAGUGCGGGAGAUUGCUUCCUCACAAGAGCGACACAGAAACACCGGGCUACAGCAAGAGUACCCUUCAUUCUCACCGUAAGCAAGCUGAUUACGAGGAAGGAGGACGUGUUUAGUUGGCAAGAAGGAACAUUUUGCCAGACGUCAGGUGGAACAGAGUUGGGAAAUGUAGGAAGCAAGGAAGGCACCUCACACCGGAACAGAAUAAUGGUCCAGCAGCAGCAAUAAUAAUAAUAAUAAUUAUUAUUAUUAUAUUAUUUUUAUUAUUAUUAUUAUUAUUAUUAUUAUUAUUAUUAUUUACUUAUACCCCGCCCAUCUGGCUGGGUUUCCCCAGCCACUCUGGGCGGCUUCCAACAGAAUAUUAAAAUACAAUACAGUGGUACCUCAGGUUAAGAACUUAAUUUGUUCUGGAGGUCCGUUCUUAACCUGAAACUGUUCUUAACCUGAGGUACCACUUUAGCUAAUGGGGCCUCCUGCUACCGCCGCGCCGCCGCCAUGUGAUUUCUGUUCUCAUCCUGAAGCAAAGUUCUUAACCCAAGGUACUAUUUCUGGGUUAGUGGAGUCUGUAACCUGAAGUGUCUGUAACCCGAGGUACCACUGUAGUCUAUUAAACAUUAAAAGCUUCCCUAAACAGGGCUGCUUUCAGAUGUAUUCUAAAAGUCUGGGAGUUGUUUUUCUCUUUGACAUCUGGUGGGAGGGCGUUCCACAGGGCGGGUGCCACUACUGGUUUCCUGUAACUUGGCUUCUCACAAUGAGGGAACCACCAGAAGGCCCUUGGAGGAGGACCUCAGUGUCUGGGCUGAGCGAUGGAGGUGGAGACGCUCCUUCAGUGUCUACUUGGAACAGGCAGCAACUCUCUGGGUUCUCAGGAGAGAAGGGCCUGAUCCACCACAUACUGCCUGAUCAUUUGAGUUUUCCUAGAGAUAUCAGGGAUUGAAACUGGAACACUGGAAGUCAGACCAUGAAGUCAUCUAACUCAAUGUUGUACACCACAGACCUUCAACUGGUGGGUCACAGCCUGGUCCAAGGUGGGUAGCAAAUAUGAGCACCAGCAACAUGCAAAGAACAUACCCGCCAACAUUUCUCCAAUGAGAACAGGGACGUCCUAUUUCAUAAUAAUAACAACCGCAAUUUUAUUAUGUAUACUCGGCCCACUCUGGGUGGCUUCCAUCAUAUAUAAAAACAUAGUAAAACAUGAAACUUUCAACAAGUUCCAUAUACAGAGCUGCCUUCAGGUGUCUUCUAAAGGCUGUACAGUUACUUAUCUCCUUGGCCCGGGGGGAGGGGGGUCACAUGACUCCAUACCAUCCAACAUUUCUCCAACAAAAAUAGGGACACCUUAUUUCUGGGAUCAAGUCAGAAAUCCAGGACUGCCCCUGGAAAAUGGGGACUCUUGGAGGGUCUGAAAGAAAAGGCUCCGCAAUUGUAUGUUUGGGUUAAAAAUGAGUCCUCGGCUUGAAAGAGCCAGUGUGGUGUAGUGGUUAAGAGCGGUAGACUCGUAAUCUGGUGAACUGGGUUCGAUUCCCCGCUCCUCCACAUGCAGCUGCUGGGUGACCUUGGGCUAGAAACACUUCUUUGAAGUCUCUCAGCCCCACUCACCUCACAGAGUGUUUGUUGUGGGGGAGGAAGAGAAAGGAGAAUGUUAGCUGCUUUGAGACUCCUUCAGGUAGUGAUAAAGCGGGAUAUCAAAUCCAAACUCAAACUCAUUGAAAAGGGUGAAGAUACACUGACAGUGGCUCCCCAGGAUUUCACAGAGAGCGCAAUCCCAGGCCUGCCUGAAGUUGCUUGCCAUUGAUCCUGAGACCUUCUGCAUGCAAGGCAGGUGAUCUCCCCCUCAGCUAAAUUCCUUCCCCAACAGAACUUUCUGCAUGAGCAAACCCUUAUCAUCACUUUUAAAGUGAUCCAUGCUCUUGCCCCACCUAUCCUUUGGUAACCAUAGUACCUUAAAGAUCACCUGAACCCUUAUAUCCCAACUCGAUCACUGAGAUCACCUGCAGGAGCAUUGCCCAGCACCCUCCAAAAUGGUGAAACCCAUUUGACAUCAACAGCCUCAUCCUGUCAAAUUCACUGUUUUCACCUUUAAAUGUCUGCUGAAAACUUUUCUAUGCCACCAAACUCAUGCAAGUAAUCAAGAAAAUGUAUUUCUGUGACAGUUUAUGAUCUUCAGUUUUCAUUAUUUUCACAUGGUUUUUCAUUGUAUACAAAUAUUGUUGUAAGCCACUUUAGUAUUUUUAUUAAUCACUUUGCUCGAACAAAAGGACUCAGAGACACUUACAAACGUAUGCUUGUUUACAGACUUUUAUCAAGGUAAUAUCAAUCUGACAUUUACUUGUUUUGAACGGAUGACUCAUCUCAUCCGAGUAUAUAGAGGCAUAUAAAUAUUUUAUAGAUAAAUAAAAUAAGCACCAAAAUAUCACACCUGCACCUUUGCAAGAUGAUUUGUGCUGCCAAAAGAGAUAUAUUUGGUGUUUUUUGGGGGGUGAGUCUGCCACUGACCCCCUAAGUUAGAGAAAAGGUGACAGGCUCAAUGGUGCUAUAUACUUGAAUAGGAGCAGAAGACGCACUCUAGCACUGAGCCACGAUCCCUUGUUCAACUCCAAUUAUUUCUGUUUCUGUCUCACUCUCACUCUUUUCACACAUCAUAUUUUUAUAAAUAAUAGCAUCUGUCAUCAACGCCGUCUAACACACUAACUCCCUUUCCUGCAUUGUUGCAAAAACUCAAUUCAAAGGGAGGGCUCUCCGUGGAAAGGAUGUGCAAUCUUGCUCGCACAAGGGAGACGGCAAGCACAACAGAAAAUGCACAGGAGAGAGGUGGCCAUAAAAUCAAAUCCAAAUGUGGCAAAUAAGGAGAUUCCACCAAGCUUUGUGGUCCAUUGGACUUAGAAUGUCGAAAGCUGGUGUGGUGUGGUGUGGUGCUUGGAAUAUUGGACUAGGACCUGGGAGAUCAGGAUACAAACCCCCACUCAGCCACGUAGCUCGCUGGGUGGCCUUGAGCCAGUUACUCACUCUCAGCCUAACCAACCUCACAGGGUUGGAGUGGGAAUAGUAUGGGGAACUAUGUGUACUACCUUGAGCUCCUUUGAGGCAUGCUGUUGUUUAGUUGUUUAGUCGUGUCCGACUCUUCGUGACCCCCUGGACCAGAGCACGCCAGGCACUCCUGUCUUCUACUGCCUCCCGCAGUUUGGUCAAACUCAUGCUGGUAGCUUCGAGAACACUGUCCAACCAUCUGGUCCUAUAUCGUCCCCUUCUCCUUGUGCCCUCCAUCUUUCCCAACAUCAGGGUCUUUUCCAGGGAGUCUUCUCUUCUCAUGAGGUGGCCAAAGUAUUGGAGCCUCAGCUUCAGGAUCUGUCCUUCCAGUGAGCACUCAGGGCUGAUCUCCUUCAGAAUGGAGAGGUUUGAUCUUCUUGCAGUCCAUGGGACUCUCAAGAGUCUCCUCCAGCACCAUAAUUCAAAAGCAUCCAUUCUUCGGCGAUCAGCCUUCUUUAUGGUCCAGCUCUCACUUCCAUACAUCACUACUGGGAAAACCAUAGCUUUAACUAUACGGACCUUGGUCGGCAAGGUGAUUUCUCUGCUUUUCAAGAUGCUGUCUAGGUUUGCCAUCGUCUUUCUCCCAAGGAGCAGGCGUCUUUUAAUUUCGUGGCUGCUGUCACCAUCUGCAGUGAUCAUGGAGCCAAAGAAAGUAAAAUCUCUCACUGCCUCCAUUUCUUCCCCUUCUAUUUGACAGGAGGUGAUGGGACUAUGCCCCUUGGAGGCAUAGUGAGAUAUAAAUGUAAAAACAAAAUAACUAACUAACUGUGAACUUCAGUGACUCAAAAUACACACCUCAAAUACAAUCAGAAUUAAGACCCACUCAUCAGCCCAUGUUCUUCUUUCCUUCAGAUGUUCAUCUAAGGCAGGAAAGAGCCUAACUCCUUAACACCCGCUUACCUAUAAUGAGGGCCGGCCCACCCAUGACACCAGGUGACUCCCUUAGGCGGCAGGAUCCCCAGGGGCAGCAGAAUCUGAUGGUUAAUAUUUCUCCCCCACUUGUCCCUUAUGUAGAUCUUCACUCACCCCUUCUCUCCUGGUGGGGAGGGAGGUGCCAUUUUGGAGUUUGCCUCAGGUGCCAAAAAGUCUUGGGCUGGUCCUGCCUAUAACCAGGGCUUUUAUUCAGGUGGGCACCAUUGCCAUUCUAAGAGAACAAGUGUCAGGGGCUGGACUGAGGAGGAAUGGUGGGGACCACCACCCUCCACUUCUCCUGAACCUUCCCAAGAAGAGGAGGCCAGUAUAGAUUUAGAACAGUGGUUUGCAGAAGGGCAUAGUUCAGAGGCUGCAGAGGGCAGAAGCUGGGAAAUAUUGGAAGAGGAACAGCAGGAAUAAGAAAAAGGAUGAGGGGAGAGACAGCUGACAGACUCAGUGACCUUGGAAAACAUUCCUGACCCGCCUCCCUCUCCCACGACCAGGCGGGCAUUGAAGGUAGUAGAACAUAGAGCUCAGAGGCAGAAAGCUUGUAUUAGUCGACGAAGGAGUGACGUAGAAUAGGGGAGACAAAAGGGGGUGGGACUUUACUUGGAGCAACACCAUUAUUAGGCAAGGCUGCAUUCCUUUGCCUGUGAAUUAUUGAAUAAAUUGCCUAAGAACGUUGAUUGUUUCUCUUAUUCUUGGCUGCCACAGUGGGAGGGAUCUACUGUAUUUUUCGCUCUAUAAGAUGCACCCGACCAUAAGAUGCACUUAGUUUUAGAGGAGGAGAACAAAAAAAAAAAUAUUCUCUCCCUCUUUGCUCAGCCCCUCUCCAUCAAAGCGGGAGGAGAAACGGAAGGGGGUCCGUUUCUCCUCCUGCUUCACUGAAGGGGUGCUGCACAGAGAGGGAAAGCUGCACAGCACCUCUCCAGCGAAGCAAAGCCAGGAGAGCAAGAGGGAUCGGUGUGCACCGACCCCUCUCGCUCUCCUGGCUUCAGAGAAAGCUGCGCAGCCUGCAUUUGCUCCAUAAGAUGCACACACAUUUCCCCUUACUUUUUAGGAGGGGGAAAGUGCGUCUUAUAGAGCGAAAAAUACGGUAAUUCCCCGAAGCCUGACAACAAGUUGAGUUCAUGGUGAGUCCCGGCACCUCUUUUUCUGGAAGCAAUGCCUGUAACCCUCUUCCUCCUCCAUCCAUCUCGCUGAUGCAGUUGUUCCAGCAGCACGGGGUCUCGCUAACUUCCUCCUCCCCUGCGUCUUCCUGACCUGGAGAUGCUGCAGAUUGAACCUGAAACCUUCUGCGUGCAGAGCAGAUGUUCUACCACUGAGCCACAGCCCUUCCCUAAAUCUGUAAUGCAGAGAGGUCAUCUUAAUCUCAAGAGCUUUUCUAAAAACAACAGCAGCAGCAAUCUAAUAUUGUUGCCUGUAAAACUUGAAAACAUGGCCUCUUGGGCAUUACGGUGCUAAAAAUCAUGAAAGUUCAGAGAUUUCUCUAGUGGGCUGCCAUCAGCCCUGAGAAGAUUCGAAAGAAGAAAAUAUAAUUUUGUCUUGCUAAAAGUGCUGCAUUUUUGUUUUUUUAAACUAAAAGGAAUACACUGGAAAGGAUUUCCUUUCCGAUUCCAGCAGGGCAAUAACAAUGCUUAGCAGGAUAGCCUUCUCUAAUCUGGUGCCCUCCAGAUGUUUAGGACUAUGAAACAAUAUUCUAAGCCACUUUAAAAGUGCCUUUCUGGGGGGGGGGAGCAACAAAUAAUACAUAAAAACUAGAAACCUUGGAUAUAUCUUAUCACCGAAACUGUAUUUUCAAAGGCAUCUUUAUUAAGGUUCUGCAAUUCUGAAUACAAUUAAGUAUAUUUUUAACAUUUACAUGCACACACACACACACACACACACACACACACACAAAAGUAGUUCAGAAGCAGAGAUGGGUAAGAUAACCUGUAAAUCUACUCCAGCAAUAAUGUGAAGGAAAUGGUCCAGUUCUCUAAAUGUCUUCUGAACAUCUAAAAAGCUGAUUCACAACCCAUAUUUCAUAUCUGGGCAGUGCCAAUUUCAGUGAGUGGGGCCUGCUGAGGAUUUCACUUUGGCCACCUCAUGAGAAGAGAAGACUCCCUGGAAAAGACCCUGAUGUUGGGAAAGAUGGAGGGCACAAGGAGAAGGGGACGACAGAGGACGAGAUGGUUGGACAGUGUUCUCGAAGCUACCAGCAUGAGUUUGACCAAACUGCGGGAGGCAGUGGAAAACAGGAGUGCCUGGCGUGCUCUGGUCCAGGGGGUCACGAAGAGUCAGAUACGACUAAAUGACUAAACAACAACAUUCCCACAAUCUCAUCUCUUCUAUCCCCCUGCAUUUUUUUUCUGGGGGCAAGAGAAACAGUUUAACCUAGGACCAAAGGGAACUCCCUGUUCCUGACUGAGUUCCAGCCUGUGGUUGGAGUUCCUUAGCAGCCACUCAUCACGUGUAUCUCAUUUCUCUUUUUACACCACUUCUGACACCACUGUUCCGUGCACCCUCUGGCUGACACCCUGCGCUCCCAAGAGAUGCAACAAGAACAGGUCUCACAUUACUUUAGUUCAUUAGACAGUAAGCAGCACAACACAGUAUUAAAUUUGCAUGCCACCCUUCAUCCAAAGAUCACCAGGUGGUUCACAACAUAAAAAUACAAAAUGAAAAUGCAGAAUACAUAAUAAAACAAAAGCAAAAGGAACCAAUAACGCCCCUCUCACAGAUACAUUUGAAAGGCCAUAAAAUGUUAAAACAGCUUAUCUAUAUUCUGCUCUAGGAGGCUUAACUUGGUCAGAAUUGAGCAUACACUUCCAGACUGAACACUAAAUACAUGACUUCUGGUAACUGAGCCGCCAUAGCUGCUAGAGGGUUGUGAAAAUUUGUGUCCCAGCCUUUCUAGACUCAUCUACCCAUGUACUAUCCGAAACAAAAGGGAUGCUUUGGUUGCCAGAUGUGAAAUAUAUUGGCAUUUUCAGAGUGGGUGGCACUGUGGGUUAAACCACAGAGCCUAGGGCUUGCUGAUCAGAAGGUCGGCAGUUCGAAUCCCCGCGACGGGGUGAGCUCCCAUUGUAUGGUCCCAGCUCCUGCCAACCUAGCUGUUCAAAAGCAUGACGUGCAAGUAGAUAAAUAGGUACCACUCCGGCGGGAAGGUAAACGCUGUUUCCCUCAGCCAGUGUGCUGGUCCCGGGGGGAGGUUACCGUGAGGCGUGGUCAGAGUCCGGUCCUGGGUCCUAGGUCUAGAAACAGUCCACACAGGGCGAAGCGGGAUCCGAAGUAAGAAGCUGGGCGUGGUCGGGAACUCUGGAAGAACAGGACUGGGUGCUGGCCGAAACAGCGCUUCAACGACGUUGCUCCCGCAACCUGGGACCAGGCUGACUGGCCUUUAUCUUCUUUGAGGCCAGGGGUGGUCCUGGCCCCCAGGUGACCCGCCUGUUCUGGCCUUAAGGCGAGCACUCCUCCUGGGAGAAACCAGUUCCCUCCGCCUCUCUGCCCUGCGUCUCUGCAGCUCAGGAGAGGUUGGAGGGUUACUGGACCCAGGGGGAGACUCACCUUCCCCUGACAAGGCUGGAAGAGACGCACCUGUAGGCAAUGUGUCCUCAAUCACCUCCGGAGCCAGAGUGGAUUCACCUGGUGCCUGCUCCUGAGGAUCCGGCACAGGUGCAGGCGCUUCAGAAGCAAGGCCGUGCCCCAGCUCAGCCGGCCCUGGAGGCGGGGACUCCUGUGCAGGCUGGGAUUCCUCUGGUUCAGCCUCUGAAUCGGAUUCCCAGGCCAUCACAGCCAGUAAAGUGAGAUGAGUGCCGCAACUGCAGAGUCGUCUGCGACUGGACCUGACGGUCAGGGGUCCCUUUACCUUUACCUUUACCUCACUAUACAUGCUUUCCAAGGCUCAGAUUAAUUCUACUGGCUCACGUUUUUAUCUAGAUCCCUUGUGAAAGCAAGGAGGGAGCACAAAUUUUAUUUCUUUAUUAACUACUGCUGUUAGUUGUACAAUUGCAUGUUAUUUUUCUUUCUUUCUAGCUGCUGUUUCCAUGGUGUUUUAUUGUUAUGCUGUUAACAGCCUUGGAUUUCUGCUCUGUGGGCGAAAGACAGUAUGCAACUAUUUGAUAAACAAGCAAAAUAAUAAAUAUACACAGGCUGACAACCGAACUCUUUAUGCAGAAAAAAGGGACAAGGCAAAUGUGACCUACACCCAGAUUUGUACAGAAAAUUGGACAAUGCAAUAUGCUCGGGCUUGUGCAUGGGAAAUAUGCCUUAGCAACGUUGACCUAAUUUCCAAAGUAAAAUGUGUGUGUGUGUAUAUGUGUGUGUGUGUGUGUGUGUGUGGCUCAAUACGAAACAAUAUGCAAUGAAGGGAAACGUGAAGCAAAACUAGCUCAAGGUAAAUACUCUAUUACUGCUUUUGUGUGUGUUUAUGAAAAGGGAUCUAUAAAUCAAAGUCGAAUGUUACAUGAGCAAGUGCAAGCCUGGGCAGUGUGUAUGGAGGUCCUGGGCUGCCGAGAUGACAAGAUACACACACACACACACACACACACACACACACACAGCCUUGCUGAUGUGGACCAAAGGAAAUCAGAGCAAUACGUUUGGUACGACCUUGGAUUCAGGAGUUGCCGGAAGGAGGCGUACAAGGCACCAUCCAGCCACCUUAGGGACGUCUCUCUGGAUUUGUGUAGGGUGCUCCAAUUUGAAAGAGAAUUUCAUGAAAAUGCUCUGCAGAUGGUACUUAACACCUGUAAAACUGGCCAAAAUGUACAAAUCUAGAUCAAAUAUCUGUUGGAGAUGCAGGGAGGCGGAAGGCACCAUGAUCCACACGUGGUGGAAUUGCAACAAAAUCAGGGAAUUUUGGGAAACAAUAUAUAACGCAGGGCCGUCUUACCCAUAGGUGCUAGGAGUGCAGGGCACCCGGGCGCCAGGCUCUCAGGGGCACCAGGCCGAGAGUCCGGGGCCCGAGAGUUGAGUCCGGGGAAGAGCCUGCCCGUCGCUGCGGGCAGCUCUGUGCCGCGAGUUCGGGGGCAAGAGAGCCAGCGAGACGCUGAGGCGGCCGGGCAGCUCUGCCCUCUUGCGCACCUGGGACGGGGCAACCUGGGGGGAGGGCGCCGGGCAGAUCUUUGCACCCCAGCACAACAUAUGCUUAAGACAGCCUUGAUAUAACGAAGUAGUCACAGCGGCUCUUAUGACCCUCAAAUGUUGGAGGCAGUAUUCUGGGAUACUGAAUUGCUGAGAUUUACAAAUGUGGAGAGAUGCUGCUGCACUCAGGCUUUCAUGAAAGCAGGAUGUUGGGCUAGUUCGGCCACUGGCCUUGCCCAGCAGAUUCUUCUUAUACUCUUAAAUGGAAAAUCGGGGAAGGUGAAUGGACUGGAGUAAAAUGAAAGAGGUUAUGACUGGCUGGCUGGUCAGCAGACACUGCAAAUUCUCAUGGUUCUAUGUUUCGCUUCAAAUUAAAAGUGCUUUUAUAUGGACCGCAAGCCACCCUGUUAACUUUUUAUUAUGGGGUGACUUACAGAUGCCAUGAAUAAAUAAACAAAUUCUGUUGCCGGUCUCACUUACAUGUCUUAUUGCUAUCCGCGUUCCCACAGAGGCUGGUGUCGCAAGCCUUUUAAAGCCAUCUGAUAUAGCAGCAGUUUGCCUAUAUCUGGCGAGAAUUCUUUUUCUUUUUCUUUUUGCUGCCAGAAAAUGAGUAAUAAAAGUAUUUAUGUUUCUAUAUGGCUGCUUCUUUCAGGGAGCCAAGAAGAAUUACAUCAGGAUCAAUAACCUAUGUUUUCAGUAGCACCUCACACUAUUUACCAGUAAUUCCCAACUGCAGGGCAAGAGUGGGGAGGGAUGUUUUUGCCAUGUCCUAAGUUGGGCAAAUAGGGAAGGGGAUAUCCUGACCUUCAUUUCCCCAGAGAGCCAGGCUCAGCGCCGUCCUUCACAACACAGAAAUGAAAUCUCUGAAAAUAACCUUUGGGUCAGAGGUUUCCAAACUGUGGUCCACAAGCACCAGGGGACAUUCAGGUGGUCUGUGGCAGGUCAGCAGGUUUGUAGUUGAAGGCGGGAGACUAUGCAUCCAUCAUCUUAUACAUUUAUGCUGGUUUUAAAUUGUUCUUAUUUCUCACGUCGCAAUGCAGUACAGUUGGAACUGAAUGGGUUGCAAAUUCCAAUACACAGAAUGGAUGCAAAAACUUAUGGAAUAUGCAGAAAUGGCCAAACUUACCGGGGAAAUAAGAAAUCAAGGUAACAAAUAAAAGAACGGAAAUGGUUUGUUGGUUUUUUUUAUAAAUGCUUUAUUGGUUUACAAACUAAAUAACAUAAGUAGUCAUUGUAUCUGUUUACAAAUAAAUUGUAUCUGUUUACAAAUUAAUUGUAAACAGAUCACAACAUUGGCAGGAUUAUUGUAAUAACCUGCAGUUUUAUAAGAGUUUUAUAUAUUUAAAGUAGAUGAGUAAGUGAAGUUAAUUUGGAAUAUGCAGAAAAUAUAUAUUAAAAAAAAAUAUUUAAGGAUCCGCAGAAAGAAGGGGAAGGAAGUCGAGUUUCGAAAUGUUAAAAUGAUUGUAAAAUACUGAAAUGUAUUAAACUGAAGAUUGACAAUAAAUAGUAGUAAUAAUAAUAAUAAUAAUAAUAAUAAUAAUAAUAACAACAACAACAACAACAUACACAGAAUUAUAGGGAAGUUUUAAUAUUUGAUAUUUUUACACGUGUUGGAAGCUGCCCAGAGUAGCUGGGGAAACCCAGCUAGAUGGGUGGGUAAAAUAAUAAAAUUGUUGCUGCUGCUGCUGCUGUUGUUAUUAUAAUACAAUAAAUCUCAAUAUAUGAGGGGGGAAUAAAUGGAAAUGCAAUUUUAAAAAAUUAAACAGCAUCCAGUACAGCACAUUGCAAUUACUACGAAAGGCUGGGGGAAAUAUUAAGUGGUCUGCCAAGAAGCUCAGCAAUUUUCAAGUGGUCCGUGGGGGUAGGAGUGGGAGUUUGGGAACCACUGAUCCAGCGAGUGCGUGCAUACGGUUGGGAAGGAAACCUGCGAAUGCCAGAAGCUUUAAGAGGGGGAAAUGUCCUUGUUCCCUAGUUUCUGGUUCCCGCUGACUUGAACUCUUCAUGCAGACUUCCAAGGAAAGCAGCUUUUCUUAGCCAGUGGUGCCCCAAACUUUGAGGCUCCUGAAAACAGAUCUGAGGCCCAUAAGCUCAAGAAAGCCUAGGCUUGGUUGAAGAGACUCGUCCCAUCCCGUAUUUAAGGUAAAGGGUAAAGCGACCCCUGACCAUUAGGUCCAGUGGUGACCGACUCUGGGGUUGCGGCGCUCAUCUCACUUUAUUGGCCAAGGGAGCCGGCGUACAGCUUCCGGGUCAUGUGGCCAGCAUGACUAAGCCGCUUCUGGUGAACCAGAGCAGCUCACGGAAACGCCGUUUACCUUCCUGCUGGAGCAGUACCUAUUUAUCUACUUGCACUUUGAGGUGCUUUCGAACUGCUAGGUUGGCAGGAGCAGGGACCGAGCAACGGGACAUCACCCCAUUGCGGGGAUUCGAACCGCUGACCUUCUGAUCGGCAAGUCCUAGGCUCUGUGUUUUAACCCACAGCGCCACCCGCGUCCUGUCUUUGUAUAUAGACUGUAAAUAAAGUAGUUUUAGAGCUACUUUAGUCCUAGGCUCUGUGGUUUAACCCACAGCGCCACCCGUGUCCUCCCAGAUCUGAGGCCCAUAAGCUCAAGGAAGCCUAGGCUUGGUUGAAGAGACUCGUCCCAUCUCGUAUUAGGGGCACGUUAUUCCACCAGAGCCAGCUAAGGGUUCUCUUUAGCAAAUCGGAAAAUUGUUUCAGGGACAAACAAUGUCAUGGGCCUCAUGCUGUUCUGUCUCUCUUUCAGCUCCUGGAUACCUGGAGCGCCAGAAUUGAAUCCGAGAUGGAGAAGUUCAAAACAAUGUGCGAGAGCAUUACGCUUGCAUGAGCAUGCCUGGAUGCAAUCCCCGGCAUUUUCGCCUACCCACGGCCAACUUUUCCUUUUUCUCACAUCCCGCAUGAUCACAGUGGCAAUUGCUGGCCGCCUAGCAGUGUUCAGCUAGUCCCCAAAUGUGGUAACAUUUUAGAGGCCAAUUAUCCACUCCAAAGCUCUUUGUUACAAAAUAAAUACAAAUAAUGAAUCCUCAUAAGAGGUAGCAAUGGCAUAAAGCCCCCAUGAGCCCUAAUUUGCACCUCUUCUUUCUGAAAAAGCUUAUCUCUUUAAAGCACUAAUUUCACAUGCUUAAAUCAAGAUUGGCUUAGGAAACUUAUCUAAAAGAGUUGGGAGCUGUUAUUUUUCUACAGAUAGAUAAUAGGGUUGUGCUUGUAUGUGCAUGGAUUUCUGCUUGCACAGCUGAAAUUUCCCUCCCUCUCCUCUUGUGCCUCUGUAUGUUCCUGGGGUGGGGGUCCCUAUCAACUGGGAUUCCCUCCACUUGCAUUUGAUCCACCUCCCAGCUUUCUUUCACAAUUAAUUGUCAAAUAAUUAAUUGGCAAUUAAUGGUGCUGGUGAUAUAAGCACGAUUGCUGCAUAAAACGCUGGAGGAAGGGAAGUGACAUUUGUAAGAGGGCACAGAAUGCCAACCGAUAGCAGGUACAACAAAUUGUCCUUCUAGCCCAGUGGUUCUCAACCUGUGGGUCCCCAGAUGUUGUUGGACUACAACUCCCAUCAUCCCUGAGCUCUGGCCUUGCUAGCUAGGGGAUGAUGGGACUUGUAGUUCAACAACAUCUGGGGACCCACAGGUUGAGAAAGACUGUUCUAGCCCAAUGCUAUCUAUGUAGAACAGGGAUCAGCAAACUUUUUCAACCAUGGGCUGGUCCACCGUCCCUCAGACCAUGUGGGGGGCCAGACUAUAUUUAUUGGGGGGGGUGAUGAACGAAUUCCUAUAACCCACAAAUAACCCAGAGAUGCAUUUCAAAUAAAAGCACACAUUCUACUCAUGUAAAAACACCAGGCAGGCCCCACAAAUAACCCAGAGAUGCAUUAAGGACACAUUCUACUCAUGUAAAAACACGCUGAUUCCCGGACCGUCCAUGGGCCGCAUUUAGAAGGUGAUUGGGCCACAUCUGGCCCCCGGGCCUUAGGUUGCCUACCCCUGAUAUAGAGGGAAAUUUCCAGGUUCCUAGAGCAUGUUCCAUCCAACUCUUUUAAUUGGAGGGGAAGAGGCGAACUUCAGGCAAUCAGUGCUCAACACUGGAGAGUCCACCCAGGGGUGGAGGAAGGGGCUGCGGUGGGGGCGGGCCGCCCCGGGUGUCACCACUGAGGGGGGUGACAAAAUGGUGGGUGGCACUCACCACGGGGCCUGCAGCGCGCCCGAGCCACACAUCUCUCCUGGGAGUGACACGGUGCCUUGGGUGCCCACCGGCUCCGCGCUGCCCCAAACGGUCCACCCACCACUUACCCCUCAGCUGUAGGGCAGCUGAGGGGGAGGAGGUAGGCAGACUCCUCUGGGCCCCGUGGAACAUCCUGCUCCGGCUCGCCCCCACUGGCAGCUGGCCCCGCCCCUGGGUGCAGGGCAAGCUCAACGCACCAGGCGCCCGAUCGGCUUGCUCCGCCGCUGAGUCCACCACUCUACCACUGAGCUACAGCCCUUCCCCGAUGUUGUUGCCUCUGACCACACUGGGCAUUGACACUCAUCCCCUGCCCUCUCCAAAAGCAUAUAAAGCAAAUAUACUUCGCUCCUGCCUACAUGAUAACACCAGAAAUACACUCUCUCUACUUUUUACUUGGUGGAGAAGGAGGCACAGGAGAGAGGAGCACAGAAUGACAGCUAGAAAGUUUGUUUCAUGAAGAGGUCUCACGUCCGCCUGGGUAGCUCAGUUGGUUAGAACUGUUGGAAAAAGGCCCGGGAAGGCCACCACCUUCCCAAGACACCAGGGCGUCUCUCCAGUGGUCACUCUCUGGCUGUAUAUCUUCCUCAGUCCAGAGAGACCGGUGAUAAGCGACCCCUCCCUCCUGAGAGGAGCACACUUAUCUUCUGGCAUCUCAUAGCAGAAGAAAAAGUCAGUAGCUCUAAAACUACUUUAUUUACAGUCUAUAUACAAAGACAGGACGCGGGUGGUGCUGUGGGUUAAACCACAGAGCCUAGGACUUGCCGAUCAGAAGGUCAGCGGUUCGAAUCCCCGCGACGGGGUGAGCUCCCGUUGCUCGGUCCCUGCUCCUGCCAACCUAGCAGUUCAAAAGCACAUCAAAGUGCAAGUAGAUAAAUAGGUACCACUCUGGCGGGAAGGUAAACGGCGUUUCCGUGCAUUGCUCUGGUUCGCCAGAAGCGGCUUAGUCAUGCUGGCCACAUGACCCGGAAGCUGUAUGCCGGCUCCCUCGGCCAGUAAAGCGAGAUGAGCGCCGCAACCCCAGAGUCGGCCACGACUGGACCUAAUGGUCAGGGGUCCCUUUACCUUUUUAUAUACAAAGAAUCCAUCAGCAUGUCUGUGCUCUCUCAGCAUUAGAACAGAACAGCAUAACACACAGAAGUGAAACUAACUUGCAACAGUGCUAAGACUUCCUGUCUCACGCUCUCCCAGACACUCACAUGAUAUAAACAAUGUAGUGCUACUUGCUGAGCAGCACAGGUGAAUAAAAAUCCUAACAUCACUCCCCCAUUUUUAGGUAACCCUAGCUGCGAAAACUAGUGCAGAAUCAAGAGACAUAAACAAACAGUUGUCAUACACAUAGUAUACCCCUGCUGUACCAGUUCCACUUUUGGAACUACCUGCAGCUGGAUUGACCAGUUCAAACCUCUGGUUAGCUGUCUUCCAUGGGACUAGAGCUUUUGAUCUAUCUUGGUCUGAGGAAACAGUGCUGACUCUUGCAACCUUCAGAUGUGGCUUUGUCCCUCCUGUGGACCAACCUUGUGCCCCACUCAAGACCUUAGUGUCUGAAACCUGGUUUGAGCCACUAGCCACAGCUAUACAUGCAACAGCUGUGUUAGCAAACUGCUGAGAGAGCCUCUGGAGUGGCAGUCCCUUUGCGACUCUCUCAGAUCUACAUAUCAGGUUCAGAUCCUCCUUGCUGGCUGGUACUUCCUUGGGACUUUUGGGAGAACCACGACCAACAGUGGCUCUGGCAAUUCCAGUUCAGCCUCAGAUGAUGGCCUGGACAUUGCUUGUGUACUUCUCUCAAUGACUGUGUCAUCUGUACUAGAACUCUCAGUGGUGCUUUCAGUGUUACUCUCAAUGUCAGAAUCUACAUCUGUGUUGGCAUUGAUGGGGAAACUGUGGAGAACCUCUCUCCACAGUUAGAGCCAGUGUGGUGUAGUGGUUAAGAGCGGUAGUCUCGUAAUCUGGGGAACCGGGUUCGCGUCUCCGCUCCUCCACAUGCAGCUGCUGGGUGACCUUGGGCCAGUCACACUUCUCUGAAGUCUCUCAGCCCCACUCACCUCACAGAGUGUUUGUUGUGGGGGAGGAAGGGAAAGGAG
rnacentral:lncRNA from 1 species